rnacentral:lncRNA from 1 species
UGCUGUCCAAGAUCAACCUGGACGCGACGGACCUGGUGGCGCUGUCAGGCGGGCACACCAUCGGGCUGGGCCACUGCACGUCGUUCGAGGACCGCCUGUUCCCGCGCCCGGACCCGACGCUGAACGCCACCUUCGCCGGCCAGCUCCGGCGGACAUGCCCGGCGAAGGGCACCGACCGCCGGACGCCGCUGGACGUGCGCACGCCCAACGCGUUCGACAACAAGUACUACGUGAACCUGGUGAACCGUGAGGGGCUCUUCACCUCGGACCAGGACCUCUUCAGCAACGCCCGCACCAGGGCCCUCGUCGACAAGUUCGCGCGCAGCCAGAGGGACUUCUUCGACCAGUUCGCCUUCUCCGUGGUGAAGAUGGGGCAGAUCAAGGUGCUGACGGGCACGCAGGGGCAGAUCCGCACCAACUGCUCCGCACGCAACGCCGCCGGGACGACGAUGCUGCCGUGGUCCGUCUCCGUCGUCGAGGAGGCUGCAGAUGAGAGCCUCGGCGUGUUCUAGAACUAGGUGUGCCGGCCGGCGUCUGCUGGCUGCCGUGGUUAGCUACAGCUAGCCUUACGUACGUGGUCGGUCGGUGUCUACGCACGUGGUGCCUAAUGGAGUUGGCAGGAUGCAGCUACUAGCACUGGACUGCAUGCAUGCAUGUAGUGCAGCAGCUAGCGCGCCACCAAAGCACUGCACCUUAAUUAGCUUUGAGAAAUAAAAGUGGCCAUGGCAGAAAAUCAGUCUAUAUAUACUGUGCAAGUGUGCAGGUACCGAUGGAGCUUUACUUUUAUAUCUUCAAGGCCCUGCUUGUGAGUUGUAAUUAUAAUACUAGGAUCACCCGUGCUCGUUGUUUUAGUGUUUGUUAACAGAGAUGCAGCGCGUGUUAGUCUCAACAGAGAGAGCAGAGAUACAUUCCCAAACACACCCCCACUCAGCGUGGCAGAUUGGCAGGCAACCAAAAUCCGUGUGUAAAAGCUGUUAGCUGUCAAGCCUGUUUACGUGCAGCCAUUCAACAUGCAACCAUUCAACAGUAUUUUUUUUUCAUAACUAAUUAGCGAACAUUCAACAGUAUUUUUUUUCAUAACUAAUUAGCGAACAAUUUUAACGAUAGCUUUUCAACCAAACGAAGUACUCCCUCCGUCCCAAAAAAAGUGUCGUUUUAGAAUUUCAGACAUCUUAUUUGAUCAUUCGUCUUAUUCAAAAUUUUUACAUAAAUAUUAUAUAUUUUGUUAAGACUUAUUUUAUCAUUAGAGAUACUUUGCUCAUGAUUAAUUUAUUUUGUAAUUUAUAUAAAAUUUUUGAAUAAAACGAGCGGUCAAACACAAUGUCUCAAAGUCAAAAAAAACGACACUUUUUUUGGAACAGAGGAGUAUACUAUAAUUUCGUUCCAAUGUAUUCGAUGAUCUCUGACAGAAUGACACGAUUACAAGGAAAAUUAGGAUUUAUAAAGGAUCGGUAACUCCAGUACAUAUGUUUAUGUUUCACCGCAACUUACAGUAGGGAGGCACGACAAAUGGAGGAAAACUGAGGCCCCUGGUGCGCUUGGCUAUGUCAAGAACACCGAAACGAAAAGAAUAAUGAACAGAACAACCAGGAAUGCGAUCAACAUGAUCUGACCCUUGAUGCCAGCCUUCUUCAUCACCAUGGCCACUCUUUUCUGCACCACGAAAUGGGACAAGACAUUUUCGAGUUUCAUUUUGUGAUUGAAUUCUUGGGGGUAAAGGAAGAAAAUGGAAACACAGGUUAUAUGCAAGAAUCUUAAGGUAAAGUAUCCUAUCCGGUCACUUCCCCCCACGGUCAUGACACAAAGAAAGAACAGGGUAUGCAAACAGGAACAAUUAGAAGUUGCCAUUGAAGAUGGCGAAAGAGCAGACCUGCACAAAGUCAAGUCUGUUGGAAGUAGUCUCCAUCUCCAAGCUUAAGUCAUUAAGGAUCCUUUCCUGUAAAACAGCCACAUGUAUUCUGGUUAAAGCUCCUGCACAACUCUACAAACUUUGCUACUUGUCAAUAGCAAUUACCUGUCCAGACAGCUCUUCGUGUAUGGUUAGCCCUACGCCACCAAUCCUUUGGACACUUUCACUGAGCUCAUCAAGUUCUUCAUCCUGCUGCCUGGGUAAAUAUAUCAAAUCAAUGCAAAACAUGUGAACUUAACAUGGCUCACAUGAACAAUAUAUAACUAUAGAUAUAAUCUGCCUACGGAAUUUGAGUUUAACCAGUGUACAUUAUUUCUAUCUAUAUUCACAACUGAAGGAAUAAACAAAUAUCACGAAUGACAUGAUUGCGGUUGACAGCCUACUACCAUAGUACACAUCCAUCUUCUCUUCCAGAAACAAUAAAACACAACAGAGCUAAUAAAUGCCGUAAAACUAUUGUAGAUCAACAAACAGUUAACCUUGCUGCAAGAAGGAAAAGUCAGUACAGGCAUAAACCAACAGAAAACAUAUGAAGUUAUGAUCUUCACACCCACAUGGUUACCAUGGUAAAUAUGCAACUACGAAAUAUGAGGUCUCUAAUUCCAAGUUUAAUCAUCAUCUGCAUUUCUUUUACAACUUUUGACAGCUCAACAAAAUGGUCUGAGAUUCUGAUAUUCUAGCAUGUCCAUGACCUACUUACCACAAGAGAAAGCAACAGCUAAAAAAAAGUAUUGUUACUUGCAUUUACAUAAAAUUAAUGAUGAUGUGCUGGUGGAAACACAAGAAUCAGUGAGCAACAAUAAGUAAACCAAUGUAAUAUUCCAGGUGGAGAAGCGAAGACACUAACUGGAACAACUGAGGAGUAAUACAAGGUUUAUGUGCCACUAAAGCGAACUUUGACUAGGAAAAUUAGCAAAUUUAUGAACUGUACACUACCUACGUACAAUAGCCACAGCUCUGAGUUGCAUGUGUUGAAUGCUGAACAGGCAACAUAUUUCUAACAAACAUGUUUGCAAAGUUCAUUAAAAGUAACAAAUUAAACUCACCUCAUGAGUAGAAGCUGCCUAUCUGAUUCUGAAGAAAUAAAGUCAUCAUUGUCUUGGGCAGAAUAGUGGUUGGUCCUGCUUGUAUCCUGGUAUUUUGAAGUUGCUGCAUUGCUCUUGCCCUUUUCAAUAGCUCUCUUGACUGUACCAACCUGAAUAUGUUCAUGAAUAGAGUGUAAGUGAGGAUCCAUAUUUAAAGUACAUUGGCAACUGCAGAAUUUGGAAGAUGGUAAUAUAUUAUUCCUUAUUUUCUAUACCAAACAACAGGAAAUCAUGCAACCUGAAGUUGUGUAACUCAUUCAUGUUCAAAAUAUACCUCUUUGGUAAUCCUAACAAAUACAUACAAGAACGAUAUUUCCAAUCAUCACAUCACUGAAGAGUUGCUGCAAUAUGAUCGAAUGCAUACCUGCUUACGAGCAGAACCAGUCCAGUUUCUUCGUCUGGAAAGCUCAACUUCAUCAAGUCCAUAGUAUGCUGGAUCCCUUGAUGCGACUGAGAUUGUCUUCUCCAGCUCAUCUACCUUUCAAGUUUGAAAACAAGCAAGCUUCAUACAUCAAGAAAGUGGAUACCAUAUCCCAUAAAUGGUAAACUAAUACAUUAGAUGCAUAACCUGAUCUCACAUAGGAAUAAACAUGGUAGCCCAAAAAUGAACAAACAAGGAAAAGAAUUGCAUAUCAACAUUUCUGCUUAAAAUUUCUUCUAAAUGUACCAACAACGGAGUAAUGACAACAUCAAAGACUUGGUUACCACCUGCCACUCGAUGCUUUCACAGCUGGUCAGAAGCUCCUUUGUCAAAUGAACAUAUUCUCCUGUGUUUGAAGCAGUUUGCUCCCAGCGGUGGAAGGUACUUUGCAGUUUAUCAAUCUGAAACAAAAAAUAAAUUUAUCCUGACGAACAAAAGAGCAACAUCUAAACACAAACUUGGAUGGGGCUAUAUGCCUAUAUGUUUCCAGGGCUUCAGUAGAGUUGAGCAACAGAAAUGAAAAUAGUCUUUAUUCUCAGGAAUAACUGGCAACCAGAUGUAACUGCAAGAUGGUGUGAUAUGUUUCUUAAACUAUGAGAGACCAUGAGAGUGAAUAACAAAAGGCAAGCAAACAAUUCGGGCAUGAGUUACCAGAUCAAGUAAAUGCCUGAGCCUCUACUGUGAGAGUUUAGUGCUGCAGGUGUAUCAAGCAGCGUCCUAGUCCUCAUUCACCUAUGUCUAUACACAAAAAUUGAGCCCAUACUGCAAAUUUAGAUUUUUCGAGAGCAUCAACGUCCCUAGCUGGUAGCUGCUUAUUGGCCACUCCAGCAUCUCUGUGUCCCAAUUUGGUACAAUUCGCGAACACGGUGAGAGUAGGCAACAGCGCUCGGAUUUCCAACCUCUACCGAUGCAGAACGACGGCUCGAUGACGAAGGAAAGACUGACACUCACUUGCACAAAUAAUAAGAGCGUAAUAAGGAGCGAGAGGGAAGUAUGGAUUACCGAGUCCUGGAUCUCCUCCCGGACGAUGUAGAACGGAUCCUGCGCCGAGCUCAUGGCCUCUCCAACGAGCGGAUUCUAUCGGAUUGCUGGGCCUGGGCGGCUGGAUGCCUAGAUUUCCUCCCCACCAAACCCUAGCAAAAUUUUUGGGGGCCAGGGGAUUUGGUGCGGAGUCGCGGCGGAGACGACAGAGCGAGAGAGAGAGAUCCCACUUCCACUGGUUCCUCGUCUCGUCUCGGUGACACUGCCACCAGGGGCCCGCCUGCUUUGCCGUGGCCGCGCUUGUGGACUCGGUGCACGGAGCACCCGGGUGUCGAAGUGGCGCUCCGGGCCCACCGCGCAGUGACUCUGAGUCGUCGCUCUCUUUCUUCCUCCGCGGCAUUGGGAAAGGGAACGAGAGGCGAAGCAGAUAAGAAAGAAAGCCAGCCGGCAAGGGGAGCCACACCGGCCGGCGUCGAGAAACCCUAGUGCGAGCGGCUCGACGACCCCUACCACCCUCAUGGCGACCUUCGCUACCGGCAGCGCCACAGCGCGCGCGGCGCUGGCGUCGCCGACUCCGUGCCGGCCGGCCGCGCUCGCCUCGCGCCCGGCGCCGGCGCUGUGGAUGCCGCUGCGCUGCUCGACGCCGGCCCUGGGCCUCAGGGGAGGGUCCGCGCGUUCUCGGCGGGGCGCCACGCUACGGGUGAGACCUGCCUGACAUUCUUGCCCUGUACUCUUUGAUUCUCCUUGCGUUCCGGACGAAGUAGUUUUGGCUACUGUGCCAGCCAAUGGAAAUUGGAAUGGAGUGCUAUGUGCGUAUACAGCGGAAUCGUUACUUUCGAAUGUCGAAACAAUCUAGGUCCACUGGCUGAUGUCCAAAUGCCUGAACUCUGUCCUGGACUCCUAUGAGACAUCCAAUUUUAUUUCUGCUACUGUAUCAAAAUUUCAGUUCCUAGUCUUAGACGUCUGGGAACUUGGUGUAGCUGGUAUAUAUCCAGCUUUUUUGAAAAAUGACCCUGGAUCUUUUUAGGCUGUUAACCUUAUGUAUGUGAAAAUUUAUGCCAUAUAUUAAUAGCUAUGACAAUGUUUUUCCUUUUAAUACUCAUUGGAGUACUUUCCAGUUUUCUGAAAUUGUAGUUUUGUUCUCAUCCAUUGUGUAGCUCUAGAACUGAGCAAGUGCCAAUUGAUAUUAUGUGCAAUCUUUUUAUGUGUGCUUAUAGUCCUAUAACUGUUUUCUGACAUGUAUCCUUUUCCAUUAGGGCUGCGUAGCUCUUCUUUACCCCCUCAAAAUGAGAACUUUCUUAUUUUUUAUCCGUAUUUUAUUUUUGGAUAGGUGGAGGCUAAGAAGCAAACGUUUUCUUCGUUUGAUGAGUUGCUGGAGAAGUCUGAGAAGCCUUUAUUAGUUGACUUCUAUGCAACUUGGUAAGUUACUUACUGGAAGUAGUGAAAGUGGUGGUGCCAAAUGUCAUGUUGAGCUAUUUCAGUGCUCCCUACUAGAUAUAAGUUCUCUUCAUUAUUGUUGUGUUUUUAGGACUUUGGUGUGUUUCAUGUUCUUGCCAUUAUGCCAAGGUGUCACCAACCAUUUGGGAGGUGAACAUUGCACUGGACUAGCAUUGUGUUCAUCAUCUGUGUAAAUCACAUGCAUAAUAUCUACCACCUCUUACCCUUUUUAUUUUUGAGAAGAUACCAAACUUUUGGUGAAAAUUGAAUAGUCUUUGCACUCCUUUUUGCACAAGUGGGGAGGAGCUGGAGAGGUUGGGUCUGUUUUUUCACUUUUUGUCUUUAGUGUUCACCAUCUGGACUAACAUGUUCAAUUGUAUUUCCUUCACAAUUGGUAUUUGCAAUACCUCAAAUGUGCCUAACUGAUUUGAAACCCCCUGCUUUCUAUGUUCUGGUACUGUUCAUGAUGAUGUGCAUGCUACUAAUAUUGUCCAUGGAUCUAACAAAAAAACAUCACUAUAUGAUUAGUUUGGUCAUGUUCUGUUCAUGAUAUUUUCAUUGUUUCCUUCUGAGUUAGUGAGUUCUAUCGAAAUCCAGAAAUCUUGUUUCAUAGUGUACUCAUCAAACAUUGUCAACUCCUAGCGGACAGCUGUGUCUAUUGGUUUGUUAGCUCCAUUACACCAUGCAUAUUAGCCUAUUAGGAAGAUAACUCAUCAUUCAACUAAUUAUGAGCAGUCUGUACACGAGCAUUGCUCUCUGUCUCUACAUAAGUCUGUAACAUACAAUUAUAUUUACUUUUGUUCUUUUGGUCAGGUGUGGUCCAUGCCAAUACAUGGUUCCCAUACUUGAAGAAGUCAGUGAAAAGUUAGGCGACAAAAUUCAAGUUGUGAAAAUUGAUACCGAGAAGUACACUAGCAUUGCAAGUCGUUACAGAAUUGAAGCAUUGCCAACUUUUAUCAUAUUCAAGGAUGGGAAACCUUGCUAUCGCUUUGUAAGUGUUGAAUGAAACAAUCUUUUCAAUUUUCAUCAAUAAUUUAACUUGUGCUAAUAUACUAUGCUUUUUCCCCCUCUCCCUUGUUCUUCGUGGCAUUCAGGAAGGAGCAUUGCCUGCAAACCAGAUGAUCGAACAGAUUGAGAAUGCUUUGGCAGUCACGAAGUAGCACAUAUGGUAAGCAGGGCAGGAUCCCCCAAGCCCCCACCCCCCAACCCCCACCCACCCCCACAAAAAAAAAAGUGUACUUGGUGCUACCUCACAACAUGUGCCUCUUCAUGUUGAAUUCUUUAUAUUGUUCAUGAGGUUCUACUUCAACUGCGAUAUGAAUAGGCAUUUUUUCUUCGUAGUUACAAUAUGAAACUGUGAUAUUGUGAAUCGAUGAAUCCUCUGCUUCUUGAUGCAAUACUGAACUGUAAUUCCUUCUUCAUCUUAUCUUAGCUGCUCAUAUAAACCAAUAGUGCUACCCAGCAUAAAUAUUAACCUGGUCCUUCAAUAUUAGUAAAGAUACUCCAUCUGUCCCUAAAAGCUUCAACUCCUAGAAUCUGUGUCAGACUGCCGGUCAAACUUUUUUAAGUUUGACCAACUUUAUGAAAAAGUGCAUCAAUAUCUAUGAUAUAAGAUGAGUAUCUUAUGAAAAUAUAUUCUAUGAUAUAUCUAAUGGUAUUAAUUUGGUACUAUAAAACUUAGCAUUUUUUUCUAGAAAUUCAGUUAAAUUUGACUUAGGACAACUCUAGAAGUUGCAACUUUCAGGGACAGAGGGGGUAUGUUGAAAGAAAACCAUGUUGAGGUCAGCCUGGGCGUUCGGUUCCUCGGUUCGGUUCUUCGGUUUUUGACAUAAAUUCGGUUCUCUGCAAAUAGGAACCGAUCGGUUCUUCACAAAUCUUGAACCAAGCAAAAUCGGUUUCGGUUAGUUCGAUUCGGUUCCGGUUCUGACCGAACUAACCGAAAAUUUACACAAGCAUAAAAAAAGAAUAGAAAAAUAGGAAAAAAAUAUUUUUUAAAAAGCAAGAUGUCGUUAUUUAAAAAAAAAUAUGAGGAUGUGAGGCUAUGAGAAGGUGUCAUUCACCUUUUAUAUUUAGGAUUAAGGUGGUAUUAGGCCUAUGUUGUAAGGUUUAUUGGGCUUGUUUUAUGAAUUUCGGUUAUUUCGGUUAACCGAGCCUGGAAACCGAAACUUGAUCGGUUAGUUCGGUUCCUGAGAACUGAGAACCGAACAGCUAACCGAAUAAUUCGGUUUCGGUUAUUUCGGUUUCGGUUUCGGUUCUCGGUUAUUUUUGCCCAGGCUUAUGUUGAGGUGUGAGGUGCUUACAUCUGCACUCCAAUUAUUUCUUUGUUGACUUUCAUGAUGUAGUUAUUCUUACCAGCUGCUGAAGCUACCUUUUCUUUGGCAGACCAUGCAAGUGAAUGGAUGCCCAUUGAAUCGUUUGUCACCAAAGGUAAAUUGCUGGCAAGCGAUGGGACAUUUAGGAUAUGAAGGUGUACAUCCAAGAUUCAAACCUUUCAUAUCGUUUAGGCCUUGUUUAGUUCAAUCCAAAAACCAAAAACUUUUCAAGAUUUCUUGUCACAUUGAAUCUUGCGGCACAUGCAUACAACACUAAAUGUAGAUGGAAAAAAUAACUAAUUGCACAGUUUAACUGUAAAUCACGAGUCAAAUCUUUUGAGCCUAGUUAGUACAUAAUGGAAUAAUAUUUGUCAAAUACAAAUGAAAGUGCUACAAAAGCGAAAUCUAAAAAGUUUUCGCAGCUAAAUAAGGCCUUAGUAUGCUUUGUUUUGUAAAAAUUAUUCAAUCACUAGAUUUUUCUAUCGUACAAUGCGGUAUUUGUGAAUGGGAAGAAAAGCUGUCGUUUUCAUGCUGUAUCCUUUGUCCUGAUCUGAGCCGUACUAUUUGAAGGCAUGAGGACGAUAAAUUAUUCUUCUUUCCCUGCUGUAUCUCACUUCGGGUGCGCGUGAUUGUGGAUUCCAGCAUCUAUCUUCAUUAGAAUAUCUGUUUGUGUAGCUAAUAAGCAAGUGUCCAAUAUACCUUUAAGAUUGUCUUCUCUCCAUUCCUGAAACCUGCAAAAUUCUCUGAUCUUUUUCUGGAGUAAAUAUUAGACUUAGUAAUAUAGUGCUUUGCUGCUGGGCUUGGAGGAUUUUUCUUUCUGAUGAAUCAUGCACGGAGUAGAUGAGACUUCUUUGCUUAGUGGAAAACUUGUGUUCCUGUAUAAAAAAUGCAAUUGACUGAGGAUAUAAUAGGAAGUGGCACUGCUGUGGAUACCUGAGAGGCGAGAUAGUUCUUCUGGCUCUAUUCACCCAAAGGCAUCAGUUGAAUACGAGUGCCAUACUUGUUUUUGCAAUAUGUCCUGUUGUAAAGAAGUCCUCAUCCUGAUUACGGAGAAUCUGAAAUGAGAUUAAGAGUCCAUUUUCUUUUCAGUUUUCACAUGGAAGAUAUACAUUUUUUAUUUAAAGAAACAAAUAAAGGGGACGUACUUAUUCUUUGACACUGAAAGAUAUAUCAGUUGUUGAUAGCUCCCAUUGGCAAAUUAUCGCAUGCCUUUCCAGAAAGAGAAAACGUGUAUGGAAGAAUCUUACCCUUGCUUAUCACCUCUAUAAUCUCCAUCUUAACGACAAAUGUAGCUGCACCAAUUUUCUUUAGUGCAACUAGUUUUUCUUUUAAAAAAAAUAAUCUUGGGUUCAGAUGGAUGUAAACUGUAUGUUUUUUUUUAAUAUAUACUAAGCCAAAUUCCACAACACCAUCUGAAUUUAGAUCCCCCUUUGGAACGAAGGAAAUUUUCCUGUUUCUUGCGUUUUCUUGUGAAAAUGAAUUGAUUCAUGCAAAAUAGUGAAAUUCUUGUGUGAUUCUAGAAAAUUCCUGGUUCCAAAGGACCAGCCAAUGUGUUGGGAUUUCAUGUUUGUCUUAGGGUUUUUUUUUUUCAACUCGCUGUUGUAUAUGAUAGAUCAUUGAAUUGAAGGAAAAUAAUUGGAGGUUCAGCAUCAGGUUCGGGCGUUGUCACAGUGUUGAUAUUGCCCAAAUACAAAAAAUGCUUAUUAUUAUUAUUAUGGUGCGCUGUCACAAUCAUUGUAGCAAGAACUGAUUGAAAAGAAGAAUAAAUUAGUUACAGUGUGCUGGAGAAAGAAAUGCUUUCAAUCGGCAAAAUAUCGCAUGCUAUUUUCAUGAAGAAAAAUAUCACAUGCUAUUUUCAAUUGGAAUCUUUGCAGGUCACCUCAGUUGUCUAAGUGAUAGAUGUAGCUGCGCAAAUUGUUUUUAAGUGUCACUUAGUUUCUUCUUUUUAAAACGUGUGUGGACCACAAAAUUUUGGAGCCACCGGCCCGCUGGAUAAUAUUUUUGUUAACAUUCGCAGUGAUAAACCAAGACUAACGUCACAAUCACAGUGAUAAAUAAAAACAAAAACUAAUUGCACAAUUUGUCUGUAAAUCGCGAGACGAAUCUUUUAAGCCUAGUUACUCUAUAAUUGGACAAUGUUUGUCAAAUAAAAAUAAAAGUGCUACAGUGUCAAAAUUCAAAAACUUUUCAGAUCUAAACAAGGCCUAAGCUUAAUUUUGCAAUAAUGUAUGAGUUUAAAAUUCCAUUAAAAACGCCCACUUCUGUAAAUCCUACCGAGUCACUAAAUUUGAUAUGAUUGCGAUUUCGCCACUCCCCCUCCUCCCCCUCCCCCUAGCGGUUUUCAGCACCGGUGGUUGUACAUGACAAAUAUUGAAGGAAAAUAAAUUGAGUUUGCUGGAAGCAUCAGGUUCGAGUAUGUGCCAUAGUCUUGAUUAUUUCCCAAAUAUAAUGAUAUUUUCACAAUUAUGAUAGCAAGACUUGAUUGAAAGAAGAGUUAAGCUUUACUCAUAGUUACUUCACUCUCCCAAAAUAUGAGGACUUCGGGCCUUUAAAUUUAUCCCAUUAUGCCAUCUAAUUAAAACCAGCCAAUAAUAUUAGGGCAUCUCCAAGAGUUUUUGUAAAUCUCACUCUCUAAAUUAUCAUUUAGAAAACUAUUUCUAAAUCGCUUUCUAUAUUUCUUUACUCUCCAACAACUUUUCUGUCUCUCAUGCGCACUCUAGAGAGUCAUUCUAGUCUUCUAUUUUUGGCUAGCGAAAAAUCCAAAAUAGAAGAUGGCUUGCAUAACCAUUUAGACAAGUUGUUGAAGGUUAAUUUUUCACCAAAAUCUCUAUUCCUAGCAUUUAGGGAGGAUUUAGAGAGUCUCUUGGAGUUGCUAUGCGGCAUGGAUUAGCCUAGCAGAUUGGAAUUAAAGCCAAUGAGGAGAUAGCAUGCCUGUUUAAUGAGACAUGAUGAAAUUUUUCUUUGCUAGUUAACUUGUGAUUAAAAUUUCUAGAAAUCCUUGUUUAAUUUUGGGAUGGAGGGAAGUAUUUGGCAAAUCAUAGCAUCCUAUUUUGAGAAAGAGAUAAACAGAAUGCAUUGGAAUCUUUGAUUAUUUAGCUUUUUGUAGUCUCCAUCUACUUGGUGACAAAUGUAGCUACACCACUUGUUUUAAGUGAACACUAGUUUUUCUUUGGAAAACCCCUUGGAAAUCUUGGAACGUGAUAGAUAAUAUAUCCUUGGUAAUAUUUACAUUUUUUAAUAAAUUAAGCUUAGCUUCACAAUACCAUCUGACUUUAUGUUCCACCAAAACAUCAACUACAUCCUAUAGUCCUGCUGAGUUGUUAAAUUUUGAUAUAAUAAAAUUGUUGGGUUUAAUUUCCCAUAGUGUUUAGAGCUCGUCAUACAUGAUUGGUUAUUGAAGGAAAAUAAGUUGAGCUUGCUACAAGCAUCAGGUUUGGAUAUUUAUCACAAUCUUGGUUAUUUCUAAAACAAACGGUGUGGUCAUUAUCAUGAUAGCAAAAGUUUACUAAAAGAAGAAUUACUUUACUCCUAGUUACUCUCUAUAUCCCAAAAUAUAAGGACUUUUGGCGCUUAAAUAUCUCAAAAUAUAAGGACUUUUGAUAAGUGUGAUUAAAACUAACCAAUUAUUGAAUGUGAUUAUAUAGCCCAAGAUAAUUGCUAAUUAAGCCAAUCAGGUGCUAGCCUGUCUAUUUAAUGAGGAAGCAUGAUGAACUUUUCCUUUGGUACUUAGUUUUUCAAAAAUAUUUUUGGACGUCUUUAUAUGUUGGUUUCAUAGAGUAGGUGGCAAAUUGUCGCAUGCUAUUGUAUUCCCUCCAUUCACAAAACAAUGCAGUUCUUGCUUUUUAAGAAGCCAAAUAUUUUAAUAUUUGACUAAAUUUAUAUAAAAAUUAAUACAAAAUAAGUAUCAUUAUAUUAGUUAUAGGAUAUAUUUUUAUAAUAAAUUUAUUUAGAGAUAUGAAUGUUAAUACUAUUUACUAUAAACUUGGUCAACCUUGAGGUAGUUUGACUGGCAUGAAUCCUGCAAUUGCAUUGUUUUGUAGACGGAGGGAGUAAGAAAGAGAGAAAACAAUGUGCAUUGUAAUCUUUUGCUUAUUGUUGUAGUAGUCUCCAUCAUAGUGAAAAAUGUAGUUGCACCAUUUGUUUUAAGUGAGGACUAGUUUUUUCUUUGAAAACAUUAUGUACACUUAGAAAUCUUGGAGUCAUCUAGAAAAUAUAUCUUUGAGAAUUUAUGGUUUUUAUUAAUAAACUAAGUUUAACUUCAAAAUAACAUCCGAGUUCAAAUUCUAUGAAAAUAGUCGUUAUACUUUGUAAAGCCUACUGAAUUAUUAAUUUUCUAUAUAACGAUAAAUCAUUGAAGAAAAAUAAAGUGGAACUUGCUAGAAGCAACCAGUUUUUGCGUCAUUACAAUGUUGAAUAUUUCCCAAAUUAAAUAGGAUGAAAUUGUCGCAGUCGUGAUAGUAAGACUUGUUAGUGUGAUAGAAAAGAAAAUACUCCCAUUAAAUUAUCGCUUAUUGUUGUUGUAAGAAAGAGAGAAAACGAUGUGCAUUGAAAUACUCCCUCUAUCCUAAAUUAUACAUUCCAAGAAUCAUGGAGAGUCAAAUUAUCUUAAAUUUGACCAAAUUUAUAUAAUAAAAUAAUAACAUUUAUGAUAUCAACUAAGUACCAUUAAAUUAUUUAUUAAUUAUAUUUUCAUAGUAUAUCUACUUGAUCUCAUAAAUUUUUAUAAUUCUUUCUAUAAUUUUUGUCAAACUUAAGAUGCUUUGACUCUCCAAAAUUCUUGUAAUGCCUUAUAAUUUGGGAUGGAUGGAGUAUUUGCUUAUUGCCUCCCUCUUAUAGUGACAAAUGUAGUUGCAUCGCUCAUGUUAAAGUGGCAACUAGUUUUAUUUUAAAAACACUGUGCACACUUGGGUCUUGGGUCAUGUAGAUAAUAGUCACUUUGUCCUAAAAUAUAAGGUAUCGAAACAUUCAAAGUUAUUCUAAAUUAUAAGAGAUUCUAUAUGAACAAAUCCUUCUAAGGCAACAUUCACAUGUACCUACCAUUAAUAUCUAUCACUAACUUAAAUGAAUUAAUCAGAAAGGGUGUACCACAUAAUAUGUCUUAAAAUUGCGUGGAUACUUUAUAUUUGAGGACAGAAUGAGAUACAUCUUUUUGUAACAUUUAUGGUUUUAUAAAUAGACUAAGCUCAACUUCACAAUACCAUAUGAGUUUAAAUUCCAUCAAAAUAACAAUUAUAUGUUGUAAAAUCUUGCUGAAUUGUUAAUUUUUUAUAUGAUGGAGAUUUCGGUUUUCCCCUAAUUUUUAUAACGCUGCUGUACAUGAUAAAAAUCAUUGAAGGAAAAGUAAAAGUGGAACUUGAUGGAGAAGCAUAAAUUAGCGUUGUCACAAUCUUGAUGGUUGCCCAAAUUAAAUAGGACAGAAUUGUCGCAAUCAUAAUAGCAAGGCUUGAUUGUAAUUUACGGUGUGCUAGAAAAGAAAAUGCUCCUAAUUAGUAGUGUAGUUGACAAUUUACUUUACUAUAAAUAAGGUCAGUCUCAAUGUAUAGUUUCAUGACACAGUUACCAAGACUAUAAACUAGGUAACCGAGCCAUAUGAGUUUCAUGGGGAUGAAACUCCUCUCUCAUCUGAUGAAACUCUUUUAUUUAAUGACUCUGCUAAGUCAGCAAUUUUGCUUAUAUGACACCCUAUUUAAUGUGCAUGACACUAAACAUGCAUUGAGAAUAGACGCCUUGUAAAGGGAUGCGCCACUUCUUGUCUAGCUUAUAUUAUAUAAUUGAGAUAUCGUCCAUUCAACAAGAAGAAUAGAAUUGACUUUACCGUUGCCAUCCCUAGUGGGUCAUGUGCAUUAUUGCCUAUUGGCCUCUUGCCACGAAUGAUUCCCACCUGUUCUUGAGGAAUCUCUCACGUAUAUACUUCCUCUACUCAUGAAAGAAACACAAUUAUAGGAUCUAUGCCGACCAAACUAGCUCAAGUUUGAUUAAUUUUAUAGUAAAUAUUAUUAAUAUUUAUGUCUCAGAAUAAAUUAUUGUAAAAAUAUAUUCCAUAAUUAAUAUAAUGAUCAAUACUUUUUAUAUAAAUUUAGUCAAGUUCAAAUGAUUUGACUCUUCAAAAAACAAGAAUUUUAUUUAUUUAUUUUUGACGGAAGGGAGUGUAAACAUAAUAUAUAUGCAAUACAGCAGGCAUACAACAUGUUGUUUUUGUUUCGUGUCCUUGGCAUUCAGUCGGCUUCGUUUACACCCAUUUUUCAACAAAACUACAGCAUGUCCUUUUCAGAAAGAGGGAAAACAACAACCCCCACUAUUGUAAUAUUUGUUUGUCACCUCUGCAGUCUCCAUCUAUCUUAAUUUAGUGGCAAAUGCAGCUACCACAAUUUUCUUCAAGUGUAAAAAAAGGUAUAUAUAUGAACGUGGUUGCUGGACCAUCAGGGUUUCAGGUGCAUUCACAAUCUUGAUUUUUUUUUGUAGCGCAACACUGUAUUGUCAGUUGUCACAGUCUUGAUUGUUGAACUGCCCAAAUAAGAAAACCAACAGUUAGAUCAAAUAAUUUCAGUAUAAACAUAGUGGGGACCUCUCGUCAAAAAAAAAAAAAAAGACCGAUCAUCAAGAGAUUGUUCUUAUCCAUCCGUCUAUCAGCGCUAGCUAUAUCAUCCUCACCGUUCAUCGUCGAUCGCCCCAUAAAUAGUGCCGCCCUUGCAUACAUUUGCUGCAGAAGCGAGAGCAAACUCACCGAGAUGGCCGAGUUUUUCCACGCCGGCAGGACCAACACCGACGACUGCUACGACGCCGGCAAGCACAUGCACGGCAGCAGGAGGGUGUACGGACACGACGACGCCAGCGUACGCCGACGACUGCUACAACGGCGGCGAGCUGGGCGCCCUCGCCGCCGGCGCCGCCUCCGCCUCCGCCUCCGCACUGGUAAAUAUAUAUAAUGAUGAUAUAAUGCAUGUAAAUCCUAGCUAAAUAACAUCUGGCCGGUUCUGGUCUGGUCUGGUGUGAUGUAGAAGGAGCAGAAGGAGGCCAAGCAGCGCAGCAGGGCGCACGACAGCCACUUCUGUCACCACUAGAGAUCGUCGAUCCGAUGAACUAUUCAUGGCCUGCAUGCAUCGUCUUCCUGCUGGCUGCUGAGGCUGUGAGCUUGUAGCGUGUGCCAUGCAAUAUGCAUGGCAGCGCGCGCAUAUAUAUGUGCCCAUCUACCUGCGUGUCAUCCCCUCAUCGUCGUCUGUAUAAAUAAAUAAAAGUAAAUAAGAGCAGAUGUGCUGCUGCUCAGUCCUGCUGCUAGUGUGUAACGUUUGCAAUCUACAGUACAAGCGCGCAUAUGCACAUAAUAUACGGUGCCCUGUCGUGUCGCGUACUUCCAUAUCUUCUGCAGUGUGUAACUAUUGAGAUGCAAUAGUAUAUAUAUUGUCUGUUAAUAUAUGGAAGUCAUCUCGUUUAAUUGAAUAGCUAUAACUGCCAUAUGUAUUUUUAUUUAAUUCAAGUUAUUUAAGAUCAAAAUUUUAAAAUAUUGACUAUUAAAAUCUUUUAAAAUAGAUACUCACUACCAGAAGGCAGAUUAUCCCUUGGCAGCCAACAAUUUCAAUUUCCUUGAUAGCCAACUUGAACCCCCAUGGAAUACAUUCUUACCUUAGGGGUUAUAAGAAACCUCCAAAGAAAUGCAUAUUCUAGAGUACUAAACCAAACCGCCAAGGUAAUUGGUCAUUUGCUUGAGUCUAGUCCAAACGUUCCUUGAGUAUUAUUACAAACUGUGAAGAUAAUUAUUUAUUUUCUUGGCUAUUAUUUGAAAUUUCCAAUGUAUAAUUCAUAUAUUACUUGAGUCCUAUUCAAAACCACCAAGGCGCCAAAGUAAUUCAUAUUGCCUUGAGUAUAAUUGAAAGCUAUCAAGAAAGUGCUAGUUUCCUAGGGUACAAAAGUAAAUAAUCAUUGUAGCUGCCAAGAGAAAGUCGUGCAUUUUCUAGUCAUUACCACCAGUAUAAUAGACUCAUUGCAACCUUGUUAGUGCUCCCUUGGCACGUUUGUGGAAUGAAAUAAGUUUUUUUUUCCAUGGUACAUUAAUCCAACAAAUGGUACAAUUUUGAGUCAUUAUCAGAGACAAAUGGUACAAUUUUGAGUCAUUAUCAGAGAAUGCAUAGUAGCACUUAGCUUGAGAUGUCUAGUUAGUUUUUGGAUGAAGACAAAGUUUAUAUCAAAGUUGCAGAGCUUGAAGAGAUCUUUAGCUUUGUAGUUGAUGAUAUUUUCAAUUGAAACCAUUUAGAGUCCAAAAAUUAUGUUUCAAGUUCUCAUAGCUUUGAAAUUCAUUUUUUUUUACUUUCCAAAGAACUCAGGUGGAGAUACAACCUAAAUAAAAGUUAUAGUACUCGAUAUGAUCUAAAAAUUUUUAGGUUAAACUAUUUUUUCAUUUAGGAUUUCAAAUAUUAAUUACAAGAUUCACUAAAGUAAAAGCAAAAUAAAAUAAUCAUUCACUUAAUCACUAGUUACUUUGAGGUGUAGUGGUAAGUGUGCUUCACAUGUACUCCCUCUAUUAUGUAAUACAGGGCGUUCUAAAAAUUUUAAGAUAAUUUAAGAGAACAAUUAAAUAACGCAUGUACCCAUGGAUUGUUCUAAUUAUAGAAUUUCUUCUCAAAUCAUGGCUUUCUUUUUAACAAACCUUACCAAAUCAAAAUAUAAUCAUUAUAUAGAUUGUAUUAUAUUUCAAUACAAAUUUUAAAAGCCACAAUGCACUUUAUUUCAUAAUAGAGGGAGUAUAUUCUUGGGGUCAUCGGCAUGCAAGAAAAUAUAUAUUUAGGCAUUUGGCGACUAUUAUAAUUUACUUGGCGGUCAUCAGCACUCAAGAAAAUAUAUAUCUUGGGGCUCUUCAUUUCCCUUAUAAUGUGAAAAAAUUGACCACAUUUUUGUUUUCUUAGCGGAGAAACCCCCAAGAAUAUCAUUGUGGUGGUCGCCUAAUCGAAUUUGCCUUACUGUCUAUCCUUGGCGAUCCUUCUUUGAGGAUCAGUCACCACAAAUGAUUUCCAUGAUAGACGAUGUUAAGACAACUUGUUCAUCUAUCAUUUCUCCUAAGUAAAAGUGUUUGAACUUUUACGCUACCAUCAAUACCUAAAAUCUUAUACACACUACUACUGUAUAUUAAUUUUAGACGCACCGCCUCAUGAGUCAUGACCUCAAUCUUUUUUUCUAAAACACUGUCUAAUUGAACAUUAUCGUACCUUGACACUUUGACAAGAAGGUGAUUUUUUACCUUUCAGGACAUGUGCUCUCAGCCUCUCAAAGCACAUUUAACUUUAUCACUUUGACAAUGACAUCCAAACCUAGUUUCGGCCAUUUCUGUCUAGCGGUUUGCAGUUCACUAUAUAUUCAAACUGUUCGGGCCUGUUCAUUGAACGAUGCUCUGAGCAGGUCUGGUCGGACAUACCAUCUUUUCUUUUAGGUGAUUUUCGAACGACCAUUAUUUAAGAGGGUCACCUCUAAAAAUAUUAUUUUUAUAGACUUGUUUGCAUACUCAGAUCAUACCUAGAAACUCUAGAAACUCGAGUAGGAACGAAAUUUUUGUACUAGCAAUUUCAAUGCGGCCCAUACUCUCUUCCCUCUUUUCUCUUCCUUUCCUCACAGUCAAACUCCUUGGCCAGUGACUCAGCUAUUCUCUCUUUCGAGGCAAGCAUGGAGAAGCAGCGGCAUAAAAGUUUUGGUUGUGUCCAGACGAGUUGUGCGGGAUAGGCAUAUAUUAUACUACCUUCUUUAUAAAUUGUAAAAUAUUUUAGCUUUUUUUUAGAUACAUUACUUUUACUAUGUAUUUAGACAUAGGGUCAUAUUAUAUAUCUAAGUACAUAGCAAAAGUUAUAUAUUUAGAAAAAUCAAAACGUUUUAUAAGUUGGUAUACAGAGAGUACUAGAUAUAUAGUAGAUACCGAUACAAGAUCCCAGCAUAUAUUUCUUGGGGCAUAUUAUUUUCUUUGUGUAGGGACUGUAACGCCUACAAGAGAGAGAAGGGGGGGGAGAGGUUGAAUUGACUAACUUAAAAUCUACUUUUAACUAUAACCUCUAAUUACUGCCUAGUCAAACCUAUGCAAUAAAGUAAUCUAUUUAUAUUGCAACUACGGUUUCGCUAGAUGUGUGUCGCUAUCUCUACUACAAAAUAUUCACCUAUUUUUAGAGGCAAUUGACAUAAAACAAUUGCUCCAAAAAUUAUACUUUUAGGGGGGGCGCAGUUUCUUAUGUCAACUUUUCCUUAAAAUAGGUGUAUUUCUUUUUUUUUUGAAACCAAAUAGGUGUAUUUCUAUGUGCAGUUGACUUACUUAAUCGUCCUUAAUAAUAAAUAGAUUACCAGUGACCAGGUACCGUAGCCUGACUGGUGCUAAGAGGUUAUCGUACUGGUGAUGAAGAAUCUGAAAUGAGGGUAGGGGUUACGGGCACAUUAUAUUUCGUUUCAGUUUUCACACGGCCGGAGAGUUUUUACAUUCCUUUUCUUUUUGUUUGCUUAAAGAAAAGCAACGCAAACGACGGUAUGUAUAGUACAAUAAUAUUCUUCGACACUGAAAGAAGUAGAAAUGGAAUUGAUGUGUCGUCAUGUCUUGGCAGCAAGAGUUCCUGAAAGAAGAAUAACUUUACAUGAGUGCUGGAAAAAAAAUGCUCCCGGCCGGCCAGUUGGCAAGUUAUCGCAUUCCCUUUUCUGAAAGAGAGAAAGCAACGCGCGCGCAUUGGCAUCUCGACGCCUGCAUGCGCAUAUCAUCUAUCUCGGUGAUAAAUUUAGCUACACCAACAGCUUUUAAUUAGUACGCAUCGACUAAUUUUUUCCCUUUGAUUUGAAAACAUUGUGUGUACUGAACUUCGGAAAUCUUUAUGUGUACGUCAUAUAUUUUGUAACAAUAUUAUUUAUGGUUUUUUAUAUACAAAAGUUAUGAAGCUGAAUUUCACAAUACCAUUCGAAAUGAAUUUUUUCGCUUUGUAACAUUUAUAAUUAAUAAUGCAGGAUUUACAUUUCCUGCUGAUGAACUCACUGUAGUUUAUUUUUGAGGUGUGUAGAGAUAAGAGGAGUUUGCUGAAAGCAUCAGGUUCGGGCAUUAUUGCCACACAAAUCUUGGCCAAAUAUAUACCCCCAAAUAAACCGCUAAUUAAAAGGCUAGCUUUCAUUUCAUUUCCAACAAAAGUUCAUGCAAAUAUAUAAUUAAUAACUAUAAUUUAAAUUAAUAAUUAUAUAUUAAAUUAAAAGGAUUGGGAUGAUAAGCUAGCCAUCAUAACAUCCGUCAUGAAAUUGUUCUCAUCCGCCAAAUCCUGACCGUCCGUCCAUCGUCACGGCCUGCCAGCCCGCGAUCAUCAUCGCUCUAUAAAUAGGUGCGCUCCGUUUGCUGAGCAAGAGGCAAACGCCUGCACUAGCGCUAGCAGCAAUCCAUUGUGUGUAAUUAAUUGUAACCCGGGCCGGCCCGACACUGCACGAGAUGGCCGACUACUACCACGGCGGCAGGGCCAGCAUGUACGACGACUGCUACGACGCCGGCAGGCACGGCGGCGGCAGCAUGAAGGCCUACUCGCGCACCGACGAGUACUAUGACAACGUGCAGGACGACCGCAUCAGGAUGAGGCCCGUGUACGCCGACGACGACUGUACUGGCUACAACGGCGGCGGCUACGGCGCCGGCAGGCAGACCGCCGUCUACACUACUGACGAGUACUCCCGCGGCGGCGGCUAUGGCGGCUACGGCGGCGAGCAGGAGCACUUCAAGAGAGAGGAGAGGGAGCACAAGCACAAGGAGCGCCUCGGCGAGGUGGGCGCCCUCGCCGGCGGCGCCUUUGCCCUGGUAAUUAACGUAGCUACCAUAAUUAUUAAUCUUGAUCGAUCGACAAGUGUGUGUGUAUAUAUAUAUAUAUAUAUAUAUAUAUAUAUAUAUAUAUAUAUAUAAUUCCAGCUGAUGGAACGUACGGUGCGCAUGCAUGAAUAUAUAUACUCCUAUGUUGCAGUACGAGGGGCACCGUGCGACGAAGGACCCGGCGAACGCGCAGAGGCACAAGAUCGAGGCCGGCGUGGCGGCGGCGGCGGCGCUGGGCGCCGGCGGCUACGCGUACCACGAGCACCGCGAGCAGAAGGCGGCCCACUACGAGACCAAGCAGCAGGCGCCGGAGCACAGCCACAGGGUGCCGCACGGCUACUACUGCAACUGAAACUCAUCCGAUCGAUCGAUGCAUAUGCAGAUGCAGAUCAUGCAGAUGGACGAUCGAACGAAUGCAUCAGCAUCAACUCGAUCCUAUGGACUGCCGUACGUACGUACGUACGUACUAUACGUGCGUGUAAGUAAAUAAGAGCAGACGUGACGUGUGUGUUGCUCACUACUCAUACUUAUUUGCAAAAUAAUAACUAAGCGCAUGCUUCUGCAGCGUGUAAUAAACGAUCACUAUUAGGCCUUGUUAUUUGGAUGUAGUCGGAUUCGUAUCAAUCCACAUGUGUUAAAGGUGGAUUGGAGUGGAACUUAAACUAAAUUCCACCCCAGUCCACUCCAACACAUGUGGAUUGAGAUGAAUCCGACAAUAUUCAAACAAGGCCUUAAAUGUAUUGAUGCAUGCAAUUAAACUAUGUAUAUAUUGUGUGUUAAUGUCAGCCAUCUCUGUCAGAAAAAAGAAUACGAUUCUGGCUUCAUCGUCCUAGUCAAAUUUUCUAAAGUCUAACCAGAUUUAGACAAAAUUGUAUCAACAUCUAAACUUUUAUAUAAAUUAACAAUGUAAAAAUGAUUUAUUAUGAAAAAAAUCUUCCAUAAUAUAUAUGUAACAAAUUUCAUGUAUUGUGUAUUAUGAAAAACAUGCACCUAAUUUUGAGAAUUUAUCGAGCAAACUUUUUAAACUUUUGAUUACUAUAAUCACUACAAAAAAAUUAAAUAUUCUUAUAGCAUCCAGAAUUUAUUGAGCUUGAGGUGUGAAUAAAUGAAACCACCAAGUUUUCGUCUAGCUAUUUAUAAAUAGAAGUCCCCGAAAGCCCCAUCGAUGACUUGUUAAGGGCACUCACAAUGCAGACUCUAUCAUAGAGUCUAAAGUUAUUUAUUACCUCGAACAAUGUGGACUUGGAGUCUAAAUAAGACUUGGAGUCUUAUUUUUUCUACCUCUUUCUUCAAUAAAUAUGCUGCCACAUCAGCAAAAUACCAUAAAUAAUAUGUAAUUAAGUGUCUUGGACUCUGUGAUAGAGUCUUGCAUUGUGAGUGCCCUAAUGAAAUCCAAUAGAACAAAUCAAAUCCAAUACAAAUCAAAUUCAAAUCAAACCAUCAUAUAUACAUAUAUAUAUAUAUAUAUACACACUCUAGAUCAAGGACCAAAUACAUGGCAAUUCAAGGCACCGACAAUGUAUAGAAAAAAAAAAACCAAAAACAAACAGAGCCUCACCCGAUGUCGCCGGCCACAAUCAACAAUGCUGACACCCCCACCCCCCCCCCCCCCCGGGGACACAGCCUCGCCCUCGCCUGCCGCCGUCCGGCACGCGCCCUCGCCUACCGCUGCCCGGGACACGGCCUCGCGCUCGCCUGCCACUGCCCAGGAUGUGCCCUCGCCUGCCGCCGCCCGGGACACGGCCUCGCGCUCGCCUGCCGCUGCCCGGGACGUGCCCUCGUCUGCUGCCGAGCCGCAAGCUACAGAGCACUGAUGGGAUGAGACGCAGUGUGGAGAUGGUUGAACUCCCCUCGCCGCUAUUACCCUAGCAGAGCAGCAGCAGAUCUAGAUUUCUCUUGUCUUGUCUUCGUUUGGAAGUGCAACUGGAUGGGAUUGGAGGAGUGGCUGGGCAACGCAACGCGGAUGAGAUGAUGGAAUCGGACGGCUGCUCUGCCUCUACCUACGCUUUGCUGUUGCUCGUCCAUCCGUCGCUCCGUACCUGAAGCAUUAUAAAAAAAAUAAAAAAAAUAUCUCUGAAAUCUACAUGUAAAUACUAAUAUAUACUUUAAUCUAUAUCAAUGUCUAAUACUAAUAAAGAGGUAAAAUUUUAGCUAAUUUUUUGGUCUGGUAUUUUUUUAGUCUGCCCUCUCUUGCUAAGCAUACCAUGUUUAGCUUAUGUACUCAUCUCGGACUCCACCUCACAAAAAAACAAAAGAUUUUGUUACUAAAUUAUUGAUGCAGUAAUGAUUAUAAAAAAUUAUUUUCAUUAAAAAUCUAAAUCAAUCAAUAGUAUAUGAACUAAAUCUUGAUCAAUUUAUUGUAGUUUGUUGUCUAAUCCAGUCUAAAUAAAUGUAUUUCUGGAAUCAUUGAUGAUGACUGCCAUGUAAAAAAAUAAGAGAUGUCUCUUGUCAUAAUCAUCAUCGCACAAACUAAUUCUUGAAACUUCGGCACAUAACUCCUUGCAUACUAUAAUUAAAUAUUUUAUGGGUCCUAAAAAAGUCACAGAGCUCGAUUGAUUUAGACACGUCGGCAAAUAAUCUAUUUUUUGUGUCUUGGAACAUGACACCAAAAGAAUCACUCAAGGUUAUAUUUUAAUUUGAUACAAAUUUAAUAAAACAUUUUUAUAUUAAUGACAACACUAAGUUAUAUUAUGGAUAUCAUAGUCAUUGUAAAAAUAAAUUAUAAAUAAGUUCUAUACAAAGGAUAAAUUAUAAAUAGAAAAUAUAUCAUUAUCAUGGUCCCUUCUCAUUAAGGUUUGAAAGUUUAAUUUUUCUCCCGUUGCAACGCACGGACAUGUUUUGCUAGUGACAUAUAAAUUUUUAAAUUUUUUUAUGCCCUUCGAAAGUUUUUUUAUGGAACCGCUGCACAACUUGAGGUGGUCUCACCCAGUGCAGUUUUAUUUCUGCAUACAAAUACAACCAAUUGUUUAUCUUGUCGUGCUAAUGAAAGUCACUUAGCUUAAAAGAUACUCCCACCAUCCUAAAUUUAAGUUAUUCUAAAAAUCUUGGAGAGUCAAAAUAUCUCAAAUUUGAUUAAAUUUGUAUGAUAAGAUAAUAAACAUUUAUGAUAUCAACUAAGUAUCAUUAGGUUCUUUAUUAAAUAUAUUUUCAUAUAUAAUAUAUCUAUUUGAUGUCAUAAAUCUUUGUAAUUCUUUCUAUAUAUAAAUUUUGUCAAACUUGAGAUAUUUUGAUUCUUCAAUAUUCUUGGAAUGACUUAUAAUUUAGAAUAAGGGAGUAUAAUGCAAUGCAAGAAAAAAAAUAAUAAAUCACGUCGCUGGUCUCUAUUCUAUAUAUACCAAUUCAAAAUAUCGGUGUACUAUGUACGAACUGUGAUGAUAAUAGUCUCCAGUUAGCUGCUUGUAUGAAUUGUGAUAUGGUCUGUGCAACAAUCAGAUCAUGUGAUCGGUCUUCGUCUGAAGAUUGGCUGGAGAUAUGAUACGCUUCUCUACCUCAUCGAUCGGAUCCCCGUUCUGCCGUGAAGCAUGUUCUCUGGAAUUAUUUUGCUGAGUUUCAGGAUAUAUACGCCAAUAAUACUCACCGACAGAGUAUGCUAAUUAUUAAUGUCCACUGAAGUCUAUUGGUGACGGAUAUAACAGUGUCGUCUACACAAUGACGAUGCCCUACGUACAUACUAGUUCAUUUCAGACAAUCCUAUACCUAUAGACUAUAGUCAUAGACAUAUACUAGAGCUAGCACGUACUGGACGCCAUCGGAGAAGACGACGGCCGGUAGAGGGAUCGGAGUGUGGCAGCACUGCUAGCUUAGCUAGUGCGUCUGUAGGAUCAAUGGCACCGGUGGUAGUAGAGCUGAUGACGACGACGGCCAGGGACCUGCAGCUCGCUGAUGACACGGCUGCUGCUGCUCACCAGCAAGCACGCGUGCACCAGGUGGGAGAAGACGACGAGGAAGGCAUCAAGCUGGCCAUGGCGGCGGCGCCAGCGGCCGAGGCGUUCGCGGUGCAGGAGCCACCGGCGGACGAGGAGGCCUUGGCGGAGCGGCAGGCGGAGGUGGCCCGGCUCCUGGCCGGGUUCCGGCGGCACCUCGAGGACCGGUCCGCGCACCACCUGGGGUACCCGUACAACCUGGACUUCGACUUCGCCUCGCUGGCGCCGUUCCUGCAGGGCCUCUGCAUCAACAACCUCGGCGACCCCUUCGUGGAGAGCAACUACGGCGUGCACUCCCGACCGCUGGAGGUGGCGGUGCUCGACUGGUUCGCCCGCCUCUGGGACCUCGGCCCCGGCGACUACUGGGGCUACGUCACCAGCUGCGGCACCGAGGGCAACCUGCACGGCCUGCUCGUCGGCCGGGAAGUGUUCCCCGACGGGGUCAUGUACGCCUCCGCCGACUCGCACUACUCCGUGUUCAGGGCGGCCAGGAUGUACAGGGUCAGGUGCGUCAAGGUCGGCACCCUGGUUUCUGGAGAGAUGGACUGUGAUGAUUUUGAGGCCAAGCUGAUGCACAACACAAACAGCCCUGCCAUUGUCAAUGUCAACAUUGGUUAGUACCGUGUGUGGAUGUGGAUCCAUCUCACGCAUGCCAUGCGUCGUGUAGUUGUAGCCCCCUCUUGCUGACAGCACUGCUGUUUGCUCCUUGAAUUGCAUGCAGGAACAACUGUGAAGGGAGCAAUAGAUGAUCUUGACAAGAUCAUAUCGACGCUACAAAAAUGUGGGUUUCAUGACCGAUUCUACAUCCACUGUGAUGGUGCUCUGGCUGGCCUCAUCAUACCGUUUCUCAAACAAGUACAUACACCGUCUGAAUAUAUACCAGUUUUUACAUGAGUGAACACCCUAUCCUCCCAACUGAAACCGUGCUUUUUCUUUUUUUUUUGUCAUUUGGCUCUUCAUUCAUAUUCCAGGCACCAAGGGUGACAUUCAGAAAGCCCGGCAUCGGAAGCGUGAGCGUCUCAGGCCACAAGUUCCUGGGCUGCCCGGUCCCCUGCGGCGUGGUGAUCACGAGGCGAGAGCACGCCGCCGUGCUGUCCACCGACGUCGACUACAUCUCGUCGAGAGACGCCACCAUCACGGGCAGCCGCAACGGCCACGCGCCGCUGUUCCUGUGGUGCGCGCUCAACGCCAAGGGUCGCAGGGGCAUCCGCGACGACGUCCACAGGUGCCUGCGGAACGCGCGCUUCCUGGCGCGCCGCCUCAGGGACGCCGGCGUCAGCGCGGCGCGCCUGAACCCGCUGAGCAUCACGGUGGUGUUGGAGCGGCCGCGCGACGAGGCGUUCGUGCGCAAGUGGCAGCUCUCGUGCCAGGGCGGCGUAGCGCAUGUGGUGGUGAUGCCCAAUGUUGGCGUCGACAAGAUCGCCAGCUUUGUUGAAGACCUUGCUGCUAAGAGGAGGAUCUGGUAUCCGCAUGGUGAAGGACUACGUGUUGGUCCAUGCGUGGCGAAAGAUAUAGGGCAAGAGAAUUGUCUCUGUAGUGGUCUUCAUAAUGUAUCAGAUCGAAGCUAAGAACAAAGUAGACAUGUUUCAGUGUGUCUAAAAUAUGACGGACGCCGGUCGUGUUGUUCUCCAUUUGUCGUUCUAACAAAAACGUAAUAUGACGAAGUGUCUGCCAAUUUAAUCACAUGCAUGAUGAUGGAUAUGUAGGAGACCAAAUAUAAUUGGUUGCUGGGGUGGGCCAAUUUCCCUUUUGAUGAGCCCUUACCAUGUUCUUGGAGACGAAUGACGAUGUAAUUUUCUUGACAGUUUUUCUAUGCCGCAAAAGAAAAUGCCUAAUUUCUUGGUGGUUAGGAUGUAAGAAAAUCUUUGUUAUUAUAAGUAAUUAUACAUGUAAAUGUCAUGUUAGCUUCUUUUCACUUAAACACAUAUGUAUGACAUAUAAAUUUUUAAGUUUUUUUAUGUCCUUGCAACUCUAAUCACGAGACACACGAUUUGCUGGACCGCGGACGUGAUAAAGUUCAUACUUCAUUAAUUUAUCAUCUUCAGUUCAAACACAGUCCAACUCCAAUCCACAUCGAGGAGGAGAAUAUACCUCUAAAUAUUUGUUAGAGGUUAGAUGAUAUUUUGUUUGGAUAAACUGCAAUCAGAUUCCAAGGACUGUGUUAUGAGCCCAAUCCAGCCAGUAGGCACACACAAAAAGCGGUUAGUUCCCUGUGGUAUUGUGGAUUAAUUUUGUAUGAAGUCCGUGCAUAAUAUAUUUUCUUUAAAAAUGUGGUACAAAUUUCUGUACUUUAUAAUUAUACUAGGAAAACAUGUCCGUGCGUUGCAACGGGAUGUGCAUACAUUUUAUUAGGUAAUUGCUUGAAGGGCCUAAUAUUGUGUUUACUACUUAUUUUUAUUGUUAUAUUUGCACCAAUAUAUGCAGAUAACUUAAAGAAACAUUUGAUUUAAUUUGAUUUGAUUGGAUGACAAACAGACGAAUAUUUUAGUUUACAGUAUGAUUAGUUAGGUCAUACUUCCUUAAGGAUAUUUAUAAUCAAAUUACAUUGUCAGCUUAAGGAUAGAAAUAUUUAUGUUUACAUUUUAUUAGGUAAUUGCUUGAAGGGCCUAAUACUGUGUUUACUACUUAUUUUUAUUGUUAUUAUAAGAAAAAGGUAGACUUAUAUAUAUUAAAAAAUCAUGAAAAGAAUGGCACAUUGAGCCACAAUUCGGCGGGAGAGGCAGCAAGAAACGACUACAGAGCAUCUCCCAACCAAGGGAAAUAAAAAAAAAUAAAACUGGAGAUGAAAAGGAGAUGAAAACCAGAAAAAAGCGCGGAUGGACGGUUUAUCCUAUUUUAGGCCUGCUGAACACACACCCGGGCUUUACCUCCGGCUUCCUGGGCCUAGGCCACGCAAGUGUGUUGGUGCAUGUUGCCCGCAGGCCCAUUUAGCUAUUGGCUUGAUCCGAAUCGUUGAUUGUAAUCUGACGGAUGAGGACACUCGUGCCGGGAAUAAAAUCCAUCAGCCGCAGCUGUAAAAAACCCUAGCUUCACUUUCUCUUCCUCCUCCUUCUUUCUCAAGCCGCGUAGCUGACAAAGCAAAACAUACAUGGGCAAAGAGCCAAGUUGAGGGCACCGCCAGCGGGAGCGAGCGCUGCUAGCUGACCUGCGCCGCCACCAGGCUGCUCGGCAGAGCUCACAUGAAGCGUUGGCCGUGCGCGGCUUCGUCGAGCCGGACUGCAGUGGCGCUCAGGCGUCCAGGCAUUCGCGAGCGGCGACCUCAAGCACCCUGGCACUACCGCGUGGCCCAUGUCCCUAUCAGCCGCACGCGUGGCUCCAUGGAACCGCCCUGCAGCGGUGCUCAGGCGUUCUAGCGAUAUGUUUGUGUUUCCCAUAAUUUAUUUGUAUAUAUAGUAAAUAAAGAUAGUUUUAAUCUCGUACAUGGUAAAUCUUGUUGCUUUUCUAUUCGAUUUGGAGCUCCUUUUCAAUUUAAUUUGGAUCAUUGGACGAUUUUUCCUUUCGAGCGAGUUGGAGUCGGUCGAUCUAGGGGAGAAGCCAGACUAAAAUUAGUCCAGACGAAAAUUUUGGCUGAAAUUUUGCCUCUUCAGUAUUAGUAUAGUAUAUAUAGAUAUAGAUAUAGAUAGAUAUAGAGGUAUAGAUAUAGAUAUAGAUUUGAUUUAGAUUUGGAGUUCGAUUGAAUUGGCCGCAUUUGAUUUCGUGUCUGCUUUGGAAGUGAUUUCGUGUCUGAUUUGGAAGAGGAGAUUUGUUUCCGGUAUAUGUUGCGUCUGUACUCCGAAUCGAGGCCCGGCGGACUGGUGGCAGAAGAAAUUUAGGCAGACUGAAAUUUUGGCUCUUUAUAGAUAGGUAUAGAUUAUAAUAUGCAGGGUUUUGAAUUGGUGUGCAUUUUCUAACUUUUACAUUUCAAUUAGUAUUUGCUACAAGUUGGUUCUCAGACGCAAAUGUUUUGUAAAUUAUCAUGAUUGCUUAUACUUUUUAGCUUCUACUACCAACCGUCCUUGGCGUGCUUUGUUGCAUUUUGCUCAAUAUUCAGUCGAAAAUGUGAAGCAUUAAGUCAGAUACAUUGUCAAUUUAAUUGUGGUACACUCCUCUUUGGACUGGCCAUAGAACUUUUAUAUAAGCAGCCGUUGUUUUUGAAAAUUGCUAUAAUAUCAAAAAAUGCAAAUAACAUCUGCAGGAGUAUUUAAUCAUGUUUUUUCUUUUGUUGAUAAGGGAUGUAAUCACAAGUUGAACACAUCUUAUCCAUGCAAAGUAGUGGAUUAUGCCAUAGCAUAAAAAACUCGCGGGUUUUCAACAAGGUCGACAAGACACCGGACCGGACCAGAUCUUCCGAUCAAUCCAGGAAGAAGCUAGAGUUUGGGUAUCGGUGCGGAUAAAGCCUUUUUCAUAUUCUAAUCCGCUUUUCUUUGUCGGAUUCGGUGCGGAGCGGAUAAUACACGGAUGCAGAUGUGGAUAUGGUUUUUUCCGGUAGUCGGAAUUGGUACGGAUAUGGAGCGGAAACGGAUCGGAGACGGAUUUUAAUAGUCGAGUAACAUGUGCAUACAUAGAGAAUUAUAUGUUUGUCAAGAAUUUAUUUAGUACAGAACAAGAAUAGACAAUAGAUAAUAAUCUUGCAUUGCAUUCCUUGUUGCUGCUCUCACACUAAUAAUUAACACUUAACAUGAUAUCUUCACUAAAAAAUAAUAAGUUAUUAGCCAAUAAAUAAUAGCAUCUAGCAAAUUUCUUAAUUUAAAAAUUAGAACAUUAAACAACCACAUCAUAAAAUAAAAUUCCUCAGCUAACAAAUUUUUUAAAAUCCUAAAUUUUUUAGUCUUGGAAGAGAAACCUUCGGAUAUCCUAUUUUAAACAUCGGAUAAUCUGCAUAAAAUUUGCGGAUAAUCCAUAUCCGCCGGAUUUUACCUAUUCCAUAUCCUACCCUGUAUCCGCAGACAAUCGGAUUCGGAUUAUCCGUAUCCGCAGGGAUGUUAAAAGUUCUUCUUCAUAUCAUCAAAAUUCGGAUUUAGAUCGGAUCGGAUUGGUUCGGAGAAUUAUCCAUACCACUUUCACUCCUAGCGGGUAAUAAGGCCGUGGAGGCAUGUUUAGUUGUCACAGCAAGAUAUGUAAAUUAGGUUCUUAGCUUGCUGGGGGUGAUGUGGCUUCCUGGGUUCCUUGGAACGCUGCAAAAAGGUGCCUCUAGCGCCAUGUAAACAUUGUAAAUGAUGCUUCUUCUUAUUAAUAAAAGCCGGCAAUGAAUUUUUCGGAAAAAAACAUAGCAUCCAUACAUGCAGUUUUUUUAAUGUGUGAACAAUAGACUUAUUUUGUUCCAAAGUUUCCGUUUUUCCUCAUUUUUUGAACAUGCAGGUGUAUAUGGUGUAUGUAUUGAGUGUUUCUGGCAUUCCUUAUUUGUGACUCUUUCCAUUUCGAAAACAUGUACUCCGUAUUUGUGUACUCACUGACAGGUUGAACUCCAACGAGCGAAAAUCUCAACCGGGGCUUUGUUUAGUUCCGAAAAGAUUUCGGAUUUCGGUACUGUAGCACUUUUGUUUAUUUGUGACAAAUAUUAUCUAAUUAUGGACUAACUAGAAUCAAAAGAUUCGUCUCGCGAUUUACAGCUAAAUUGUGUAAUUAGUUUUUACUUUCGUCUAUAUUUAAUGCUUCAUGCAUGUGCCAUAAGAUUCGAUGUGACGGGAAAUCUUGAAAACCUUUUGCUUUUGGAGUAAAGUAAACAAGACCCAGUACUGAUCGUGAUUCGUGAAUCGAGGGUAGUCCCUUUCCUGUGAUGUGACCAGACUUGGCAAUGGCCUUGUUUAGUUGAAAAAAAAAAUUUGUUUUUGGCUAUUGUAGAAUUUCAUUUUUAUUUGACAAACAUUGUCCAAUCACGGAGUAACUAGGCUCAAAAGAUUCAUCUCACAAAUUACAGGUAAACUGUACAGUUAGUUUUUAUUUUCGUCUAUAUUUAAUGUUUCAUACAUGCGACCAAAGAUUCGAUGUGACGGGGAAUCUUGAAAAUUUUUACGAACUAAACAAGUUGCAGGUAAUUCUCGCUCAUAGUAGAGAUGUAAAAUGUAUGGUUUUAAAAGUUAAGAACCUGGCCUUGUUUAGUUCUAAAAAAUUUUGCAAAACAGACACUGUAGUACUUUCGUUUGUAUUUGACAAAUAUUGUCCAAUCAUGGACUAACUAGGCUCAAAAGAUUCGUCUCGUCAAUUCCGACCAAACUAUGCAAUUAGUUUUUAUUUUCGUCUAUAUUUAAUACUCCAUGCAUGCGUCUAAAGAUUCGAUGUGACGGGGAAUCUAAAAAAUUUUGCAAAAUUUUUUGGGAACUAAACAAGGCCUAAAGUGAAUUUUUCCUAUAUGGGAGCGUCAUCUGUUGUGAUUAGACGGGAAGCACGGCAAUCUGCUCUGCUGCAGUCGCGGAUAGUAACCACGAGUAGGUCACACGUACAUUGCACACCUGACUAUGGGUUCGGGUACGUGGGCCGGUGGAGGCUACUGAAUCCAAACCGGCCGGGCCUGAGAAUGCAGCAGAAACGGGAGGGCAGUGACAGGUGGUGCUGGUGCAGACAGAACGGAACAGGCGCCAUUUCCAUACAAAAACGACGUAACGGUUGGAGCACGCUGCUGUGCUGUGCUCGGUGCUCCCGUUGAAUUGAAUUCAACGACGACGGGGAAAAGUAACGGUGGCAUGCACGCACUCCCAUCCGGCCAAGGACAAGGAGGCCAGGCUUGUUUCGUAGGAUAAUUAGCAUCUCAUUACGGCCUUCUUUUCUUUUAGCACGUCUUUACAAGCGUAAACACUGUGCUUACAUUUGUUUAAUAAUAACCACGCGCCAACGAUCCUUCUUCUACUCCUUGUAGUACGUACUAGGACCAGCACAGGUCAAAGAUGCAAAAAGAUUUGUCUAAAAAAAAAAGAUGCAAAAAGAUUUGUCUAAAAAAAAAAGAUGCAAAAAGAUACUAAGGCUGUCUCCAAUAUGAGACCUAUUUGGGAACCCAAACCCAAAAUAUGUUUCCAACACAAUACCUAUAGCCUCCAACAGAGUACACAUACAGAAGACCUAUUUUGGGUAUCAGGAGAGGCAUAACCCAAAUUUGGGUAUCCUCUCUCCUCGAGACCCAUUUGCAGAGAGUGUUGUCUUUUAGGUCUUGUUGUUGGAGAAGAACAAAAAUAGGUAUGGAACCUUUUAUCUGUAGCGCUACCCAAAGGAUAAAUAGGUGUUGUAAUUUGGGUGACCAUUGUUGGAGAUAGUCGAGGUUCUUUUCUCGGUGUCGGUCUCAUGAAAGAAAUACAUUCUUUGGCACCGCCGCCACCAUGUCCGCCUGCCUCUGGCUGCUUCAUUGAACCAAGCUGCCUACUCGUCUCUUGAGCCGGUGAGUUUACCUUCUUUUCUCCUUCACGAGUGGAUUUAAGCAUGCUUAUGGCUGGAUCUGCAGCAAAGCAGAAGGUGCUCCCGCUAUGACAGUCACGGCUACAAGUCACCAACAGCAGGGCGGGGUUGCGGGCGGGGAAGAAGCUCACGGCUUGCAUCGUCGUCCUCGGUCGCGUUGGAGUACGGUGAGACAAUAAUGUCAGAAGGUGUUGCGUCCGAGAGGUGAGAAGAAACAGCACAUAGGUUGGCAUGGAGCCGAUCAGAGCCUGGCUGUAGGUAUGGCCGGAUAGAUCCUGACUUCAAAGGCUGGCCAGACAACUAAACUGCCAAACCUUGACUCAUCCAAGCAAAAAGCUAGGUUUGGAGGGCAACCAAACGCACUCUUUACUCUUCAGGACCUGUUUAGUUUCUAGCCAUAAAUUUUUCACCAUGUCUCAUCGAAUAUUUAGAUGUAUACAUAAAACAUUAAAUAUAUAUUAAAAAUAACUAAUUGCAUAUUUUAUAUAGAAAGUAAAAGAUGCAUUUUUUUAACAUAAUUAGUCCAUGAUUAAACAUAAUUGCUAUAGUAACACACAUGUGCUAAUGAUAGCUUAAUUAGACUUAAUAAAUUUGUCUCGUGGUUUUUAAACGAGAUAUGUAAUUAUUUUUUUAAUUAGUAUCUAAAUACCUCUUUCGACAUCAUAUGAAACAUCCGAUGUAACACAAAAAAAAAUUUCACCCCAUGUUUACUUCGCGAAAUUUUUUGGAUUUGACUAUUGUAGCAGUUUCGUUUAUAUUUGAAAAUUAUUACCCAACCAUAGAUUAAGGGGGUGUUUGGGACUGCUCUGCUCCACGUUUUUCAGCUCCGCUCCAUGUUUUUUUUAGCCAAACGAUUUUAGCUCCACGCACUUAGUUUGAGGAAAAAUGUGGAGUUGUGAGAGCACCUAAAGAGAUACUCCACAAGCUCCAGUUUUUUGUGGAGCAGAGUUUGUGGAGCAGUCCCAAACACCCUCUAACUAAGCUCAAAAGAUUUGUCUCACAAAUUACAAACAAACUAUACAAUUAGUUAUUCUUUUUACAUAUAUUUAAUACUUCAUGUAUGUAUUUAAAGAUUCGAUGUAAUCUUUUAAAAUUUUUUGGAAACUAAAGAAAACCUAAACAAGGCCUCAACUCAGGCCUUGUUUAGUUCUGAAAAGUUUUCACUUUUCGGUACUGUAGCACUUUCGUUUGUUUGUGACAAAUAUUAUCCAAUUAUGGACUAACUAGGAUCAAAAGAUUCGUCUUGUGAUUUACAGCUAAACUGUGUAAUUAGUUUUUAUUUUCGUCUAUAUUUAAUGUUUCAUGCAUGUGCCACAAGAUUCGAUGUGACGGGAAAUCUUGAAAACUUUUUGGUUUUCAGGGUAAGUAAACAAGGCCUCAGCAUAUCUUAAGAAAGAAUUUGAGUGCCAGUGAAAUCUGGUUGAUGGAUGCCACUCAAUUGUGGUCAAUGGAAUGUUUGUCAAAGCCUCAACACUGACAACAUCCCGCGGAUGGCAAGGCGGCAUCCUCAAAUGAGAGAAACUACCCCAAAGCUAGCUAGCUAACAGUAGCACAAACAUGGGCAUCAUGGACGGGCCCAAUUUUUUAAAAUUUGGCCUUUUUUUGAAAAAAAAUUCUCUUUUGGACCUCUAGAAAACUUAAUCUCAGUUUUGGACCUAGGGGGUCGACGCCAUGCUUCAUGGCGUCGAGGUUACACGUCUCGACGCCAUGGAUCACGGCGUCGAGGUCCCUGGCUGUGCUAGCGUGGCUUCUGACGUGGCAGAGACCUCGACGCCGUAGAUCAUGGCGUCGAGCUCGACGCCAUAGAUCACGGCGUCGAGCUCUGAACUACAUAGCAGAGAGUUCAUCCAGUUCUUGCCGAAGAUCGACGAGCUGGAGAGCUUGCUGGAGGUCUACUUCGUGCAGAUCGACGGCACCCUCAACAAGCUCUCAACUGUAUGUACAUUCUCCUUCCCCUAGUCUCAGAUCAAUCGAUGCGUUCAAUUUCAAUCCAUGUCUUGCGCUGAAGAAACGUUUAAUUUCUUGGUUCAUUCAUGGAUUGGUUUGGAUUGAAAUACUUGAAGCUGCGGGAGUACGUGGACGACACGGAAGACUACAUCAACAUCAUGCUGGACGACAAGCAGAACCAGCUGCUGCAGAUGGGGGUGGUGCUGUCCACGGUAACGCUGCUGGUCACCAGCGCCGUCGUCGUCACCGCCAUCUUCGGCACGAACAUCCACAUCACGCUCUACAGGAUCACCGACCUCAACGUCUUCUGGGAGGCCGUCGGCGGCACGCUCGCCGGCGUAGCCACGCUGUUCCUCGGUGCCAUGCUCUACUACUGGAAGAACGGGAUACUCCGGUGAUCGACGAUCUUCGGCAAGCAGCGUCGAGCUCGACGCCAUGAUCUACGACGUCGAGGUCUCUGCCACGUCAGAAGCCACGCUGGCACGGCCAGGGACCUCGACGCCGUGAUCUAUGGCGUCGAGACAUGUAACCUCGACGUCAUGAAGCAUGGCGUCGAUCCUCUGGGUCCAAAACUGAGAUUAAGUUUUCUAGGGGUCCAAAAGAGAAUUUUUUUUAAAAAAAAAAUGCCAAAUUUUAAAAAAUUGGGAUGGACGGGAGGAGUGGAGCGGUGCACUGCACGGAGAUUCCAAUCCAAUGCCUGCCUCGUUACUGCAGCCUUCCGCCCCCUUGCGAACCACACGGAACGGAAACACAGAGACCUGAGAGCUUUUGAAUGCUCUCCUUCUCCCUCCUCCUCCGGCCACUGUAGCGUCAUCAUCACCCGGACGGACCGGACCUCCUCUGCACAGGCACAGGCAGCCCCUGCUGGAUGCUGCGCUUUGUACUGCCACAUUUUUAAAGGAACCCAGGGCAGGCCACUGGUCCACACUCCACAGCGUGCAGCUGCCCCUGCCCUGCCGCGUCCCCAUUAGAGUACCCUUCCCUUCAACAAGAGCGCCCUGGUGCAUUUGCAACUGCUCGGCUAUUGCUUCGCUUCCCUUCAGCUUCAACACGAGCGCGAGGAACAAGACAAAGGGGAUGAUGGAGAAGCGACACGGCGGUGGCGGAGGCGGAGGCUUCACUGUGCUCCGCCUCCUCGCCGCCGCCGUCUUGGCGUUCCUGCUGCCGCAGUCCGCCGGAGCGGCCGACGACGCCAAGGUAAUCUCUCCUCCUCCUCUUGUUCCGCUCGUCAACUUCUGCAAAUGCACGUGUCGGCUUCAGCGCUACGUACACUAGCGACUCAUCAACUGCAAACCAAUUGGCUCGCAUUUCGCAGUGGCACGCCCAUGCCCAUCCGGUUGCCCACGCCGGCCUCCCGCCGCUCUCGGCACCACCGCCCACCGCGGGAGCUGACGACCUGCCGCCGCCCGUGCCCGUACCCGUGUCCUUCCCGCCGAGCCGCGCGCCCGGCCAGCGCCAGCAGGCCGCCCCGCACUUCGGCUUCCCGCUGCAGCCGGGCCCGGGCGCCGCGGCCCCGGGGACGGCGCCCGCCGGCGAGGGGUACCCGUUCAUCGGCAGCAACCCGACGGUGCCGCUGCCCACCGGCAUGACCGACACUUCCACCGUGCUGCCGCUGCCGGACACCGGGGACGCAGCCACCAAGGUGCUUUGUGCGCAUCCUCAUCUUUCCCUUUGCUGCUCGUCUCGUCACUGUGCUGUGCAAUGCAAUCAACUGUUUCGCUGCAGGUGGUGGGCUCGGGCUCGGCAGCGUCCGUUCGUGCUCCCGUCUCCAUGAUUGCCCUUGGUGGGCUUUUCUUCGCCACCAUGUUGCUGUUCCUGUCCAAGAUCUAGUAAUUAACAACCCAAUUAUAUGUAGAAGAAGAUGCUUGUACUACUGAAUGCUGCUGCUGCUGCCUUCAUCCAAACUAACUACUACUAGUCUUGAGUUCUUGGCAUGAACUAAUCUAGAGAUCUACUUCCAAUUCCUUUCACCUUCCUGUGAAUUCAAUUCGACAACAGCAUCGUGCUUCACUCUUCCGACUUUCCCCAGCUUUCACCUUUUCCGCAGCUUCGUGAAUAGUUCGACUCUCACAACCACAAAGCUACAAAACCAGCAUGUAGCGACUCUCCAACACAAAUUGAAACAGAACAAAAAUAAAAGGAGGCAAACAAGUCGUCAAACGCAAGCACAGCUCCCAUCACAAUUCACAAUAACUAACAGCCUGACCACGUUUCUGUUAUUUACAAAGCAUCACUAAUGUGCCGAGAGCCCCAGACUCGUCGAAUCCCUCCAGUUACCUUUACUUUAACACUUUGGCCCAGAACGAACGAUCAGGGAUACGAGAGCAAAGAAAGAGCAUGGCAUGAAGCACGAUGCAUACGUCUGUGCACCAGUACCACUAAACACAACUCCACUGCCCUACUAGGAUAUUAUGCACAGCUUCCUUCAUUUACAGGAUGGUACAGCAAGAGUUGGUUUUCUUCGCCUGCUUGUAGAACAUCUGCAUACAAGUUAAAGGGAAUGUCAGCACAAAACAAGCCGCGGACUGCAACACAUCAUAAACAUCUGCUUGUAGCCUACUGUUGCUGGACUCGCGCACUACUGCUAUCAUUUCUAGGAAACUCUCUAGGCAAACAGUGGAACAGCUAUGAGAUAAUGGUGAAAGCAAGGAUUAUUGUUACUAUAUAAAUGAUUCUACAAUGUUGUUCUCUUUUGCUGUUUUUGCAUCCCACCUUUUCUUUCUAAGACAUUAUUAGGGGCGUUAGACCUAUGUAUGGUCGAAUUUGGAAGGAAAAUUGGAUCAGUGACACCGAAAUGUGCAGGUUUUGGAGAAAUACCACCAAGGUGACUCGGUAAACUUUAAUACCGUCCCGGGGAUAGAUCUUUACCACUCUGUCCAAAUUAGGCAUUAAUGGUCGAACUGUCAACCAUUUUGCCCCAGCCCUCCUGCGUCUAGGCCAAAACAUGAUCCCUUUUCCCAUGGGGCAACCCAAGCAUAGCAUCGGUCCCAGGUGUCCUUUUCCACCACCGCGCUUAUGUCCCCCCUCAGAUCAAUCGUAGCAGCCUAGCAGGGGCACAAUGCCCUCUGUUCCUUCAGCCCAUCCUCCUCUGCCCCUUCUAGAUCUUCAUUUGCUGUCCUCUGGUUGGCCACACACCAUGGAACGGAGGUGCAGAGCUUUGGCUCCAGUUACCUGGUCCAUGGUGUUGAUCUGGAGCAGCGGUAGACUGGUUGGGAGCUCUGGUGCCUGGUGGGGUGCGGUAGCUUCGGAGAAACAGAGACAAUAGUGGUGAGGAGAGCAGACACAUAGUGGUGAGAGGACCAGGGCUGCGCGACCCCUGCCCCUCUGCUCAACUCGUUCUGACUAAACGGGCUUCCUCAAGUGAUAAAUAUCAACCCCAGACACCCAAACCCAGGGCAAAUAUGGCCCAAAUGUAGAAAGAACAAUAAAAAGCAUAACGAAAGUGUACUGAGUGGUAAAAAUCUUAACUAUGGCAUCUUUUGGUGGUAUCAACGUUUAAAGCCGUUUCAGUGGUGUUUUUCUAAAACUGGCACCUUGUGGCGUCAUAGAUCCAAUUUUUAGAAUUUCAAUGGCGAAGAUUCGUACAUAUUCAGAUGCUUAACUUAGACACUACACAACUUCAGAAAUUGUCUUUCAAUCAGUAUUUAACACAAGGGAUUGCAACUGGACAGAAGAAUCAUUUUGACCAAUUGCCCAUAGGCCAUAACUUGUUGUAUGUCUUUGGACAAAAUAACAUACAGCAAAAAUAUCCCUACCUGUGAAGAAAUACUUAGAUCAGAACUCUUCUCCACUAGGCUGUCCAACCUUUCACCUCUAUCAAGCAUGCUAUCAAUGGUUUUAUGCUGCAAAUAUCAAAAUCAAGAACAUAAAUUAAAAUUUGUGAAAGAAGAAAGUAGCCUUCCUCAGCAGUAAUUCAUGGCCUCUUCAUCAGCCAAACUAAUAGCAAAUAGCUCAAAAGGCAGGUGAGAAAGAGUAUCCAAGCACCUGUGCAGGGCACUUGGUCAAAGUGCCAGCAAACAUAAAGAAUCCAGAUAUUGCACUAUUCCACAAGAAUUUGUAGUCGACAGGGCACACUAGCUCCAAACAUUCUAUCAGCUACUAGUUUUCAACAGCAAGCAGGAGCAGAGUACAAGAAAACACUAGUGUUCUGAACACAUUAUAGCACCAGUUCGGCAAUGUAAUAACAUCCUGCCCCUUUGCUCCGAACCCAAGCAGGGUAAAAGAAAACUCCCCCUGACGGCCUGAUGUAAUUUUAGCCUUUCCUAACAUACGUGUGUAUGGUGCACAUGAGAACAACUCCAUUUAGUAUUUGAUAAGCUAGUUAGUCAUGUUCCCAAGAGUUCAAUUAACAUGAAGUUACUUACCAAAAUAAUCUUGGUUUCAUCCAAGUCCCUCUGAAUUUUCAACAGCUUGUCAGCUUCUGCAGGAUCCUGCAAAGAAAAGAAUUGGAAGACAAAUCAAUCAUUGGCAAAUCAAGCUUUAUUUAGUCAAGUGAACAAUGAUGUGCUUAACAAGGGAAAAAACAGUACAUGCAUAAAGUUCCAGAUUUGGACAAACACCUAAUUAAUAAGUAUGAGUACAACAAACUAUUUCUUUGCAUACAAGAAUCUGAUUCCUGAAUAAGCUAUAUUUUCAAGACAUCAGCAGAGCUUCAUGUUUUUCUCUUCCAAAAUUGUUGGUCUCCCUAGAUAACUACUCAAGUGCUGAUGGAAAAAAAAAUCACAUAUGUGUAUGGGUCCAAACAAACCAAACCUGGUAUUUGGUUAGGGAUGGAGGAGGAGCGUGUGCAUAUCUUAUCUUAUUUCCCUAUUUACUCUCGAAUAGAUAAUGGGUGUGUGAAAGUCAGCGUGCUCAGACAGAGCAGAGCUUCGUGUUUUUCUCUUCCAAAAUCUUCACUCCCCAUAGAUAACUAACUACUCAAGUGGUGAUGUAAAUAAAAUCAAAUGUGUAUGGGUCCAAACGACUCGUGUUUUUCUCUUCCAAAAUCUUCACUCCCCAUAGAUAACUAACUACUCAAGUGGUGAUGUCAAUAAAAUCAAAUGUGUAUGGGUCCAAACGACUUGUAACUACUCAAGUGGUGAUGUAAAUAAAAUCAAAUGUGUAUGGGUCCAAACGAACCAAACCUGGUAUUUGGUUAGGGCAUCAUCCAAGUAUUGCCAAGGUUGGGUCACAUCAGUUUUGGUUGUCCUCCAUGACUCUCCAAAAGUCUUCUGGUACUGUUCCAGCACCUGUAGAAGAUAUCGGACAUGGAUAACCUUUGUGAGACUGAUGCAUCAUCUUACUCAUAUGACAAUAACAGGAGAGGUCAUGCACUAUCAGUUUACUAUCAUCACUGCAACAAAAAUACAGCACGAAGAUGUGACAUUAUCAGUUUAUUAUCUGUAGUUUCUGUAUUAGGCUUUAUCUUUUGCUUCAUGUUAAACUGGUAUCCCCAGUACUGUAUGAUACGUUGCUUUAUUAAAAGCUGAGGUAAAAGUAAAACUCAUUUUAAUAAACAAAGAUGUGACAUUAUAUAACAAUCAAAAGUAUGAUGACAACAGUACAUGGUUGGGAAGUAAGGUAGACAUAUCAGAAAGGAAAGCCAAUUGGCAGCUAUGUGGUUAUUAGCUUCAGAAAUAUAGAUGUUGAGGCCUAGCUGAUCAGGGAUUAAAUUGUCAGAAAAAAUUGCAAGCAAUCUAUGUGCAUGGCCCACCAGAUUAGCAGGCAAAUAAAGCAGAGCACAAGACCAGCGUCACUAGAAUGAGUUGAAAGUAACCGCCGCGUAACAGGGUAGUUGACAGAGAUAGGAUCAGGAGUAGCGUACGAUGUUGAGGAGGGAGAAGGCGCUCCUGACGGGAUAGUGGGCGUCGGUGAAGGCGAUGGCGCAAAGGCCAUCCUUGUUGUAGCAAUGCACCGUGUACUCUGCAGAGGAGGGAGGGUCAGCAACAAUGGAAGUCGGAUGAGCCCAGUGGAAGGCUUGGUAGAAGAAGGGAAGGGGAAGGAAGAAAACGAUGAGGAGACAGGCGUCGUGGGGCGUGAGUCGUCGUCACGUGCCUUCGUGCUGGACGUUCUGGCGGCUGCCGGCGGGGGUGCGGAGGGCGACGGUGCGGGCGACGAAGAGGAUGAACUCGCGGGCGGCGGCGCGCUGGAAGUAGCCGAAGUGGCUGACGUCCGACGCGUUGGCCAGCACCACAGCCUGCUGCUCCCCGCCGCCGGAGGCGGAGGAAUCGCCAGGGGAUUUGAGCACCAGCAACGCCGUGAUCUUCAUCGCGGGUUCCGGCCGCGGGGGCGGGGGCGGGGGCGGCGGAGGAAGAGGAAGAGGAAGGGAGGCGAAUUGGGUGCCGGCUGCUAGGCCACGGGCGGCGGUGGCGUGCGGGGGAGUAGCGAAUUCUCAAGGGAACACGGUGCGGUGCGAAGUUGCGAACACGAUACGAUCGAUGCGAUGCGAUGCGUUUUGACGUGGCUUCCUUUGUGGGGAAGGAAAGGAAGAAGCCGACAGGGGGGCCCACGUCAAAACGCCAGGAGUUGCCGACGUGUUAAGAAGGUUUGAUCAUCAUCUGGAAACUUUAUACAAUCGCUUAACUUAAUUAUUUCUUGGGUUAAUUUUCAUUAAAACUUUUGCGAUGCAAAGAAACGCAACUAGGGACGUAUUCUUCUUCUUCUUCUUUCUUUCUCUGCGUUUCUUCUUCAGCCCUCCUCUCCUCUCCAUGGCCGACUCCGCGCCUCUGUGGUCUGUGCUUUUUUCACGCCCACGUAUCAUUCCAAUUAAUCCGUAAUCUUUGUAAUUCUAUAGUUACAACUGCACUAAACAUGUUCUAUAUUUUCUCAUGUUAGAUUAGAUUCAACAACACCAGUUUCAACAAGCUGAAGACAACAACCACCAAGGAAACAGAACGAUGUUUUUUAAUAAAAAAAAAAGAAGAAAAAUAAAAAACAUAAUUAUCUCCCUAUAAAUAACUUAUAUGAGUAUCAGCAAUAACAAUUUACUACUGAUGGAGCCAAGCAUAUAAGGCCCGUUGGCACCAGUAAAGUUUAACUCCCGUCACAUUGAAUAUUUGGACACAUGCAUAGAAUACUAAAUAUAGACUAUUAUGAAACUAAAAACAUAGCUACAGAGUAACUUGCGAGAUGAAUCUUUUAAGCCUAAUUAGUUCAUGAUUACCAAAUAAGACGAAAAUGCUACAGUACCGCCCAUAAUCAAACACUCCCUAAGGCCUUGUUUAGUUCACUCCAAAAACCAAAAACUUUUCAAGAUUUUCCAUCACAUCGCAUCUUGCGGCACAUGCAUGGAUCAUUAAAUAUAAAUGAAAACAAAAACUAAUUGCACAGUUUGCCUGUGAAUCGCGAGACGAAUAUUUUAAGCCUAGUUACUCCAUAAUUGGACAAUGUUUAUCAAAUAAAAACGAAAGUGCUACAAUGUCAAAAUCCAAAUACUUUUCAGAUUGGCCUAAGUUUCAGCAAAAAUAACAAGGUAGUAGGACAAUAAUAUAUACCUGGAGCAUGCAAGGGCACACCCUCACGUCGCCGCCUCUAGAGCAUUUCUACUCUGUCCCCACCUCGGCAUUGCCUAAGUAGUGAUCACUUGGCUAACAUCUUGUUACCUAAUUAAUUAACACAUAUAGUUUGGUAAAUAAUCAGCUUAGUUCUAGAUAGUGAGAAUUUAUAGUGUUUAGCAAAAAGCCACCAAUCCAUUUGUCUUCAUAGCUACAUUUGACAUACACACCUUAGGUUUUGUUUGGCUGCACUUCAAUCCACCCCAAUACAUAUGGAUUGGAGUGGUUCGACUGCAGUCAAACAAGACACUAGGAUAAAUACCAAGAGUGCCAUAUCAUGUGAAUAUAUGAAGCAGUAAUCCACCAAAGCCAUACUUUAUGUAAACAGGAAUCACGAGUUUUUUUUGGUUGAAUUAUUGUUAGUUAAAAUGUUGAGUGGAAAAUAGAAGUAGAAAAUGGGAUUCUCUAAUAAAUGUUUGUUUUUUGAUUUGUUGAGAUUGAUAAAAUCAAUAUAUAGUAAUAAAUAAUAUCACAUCUAAAAGAAAUUUUAGUGAUAAAUAUCACAUUCAACUGAUUUGAUAUGAUGUAUAAUAUUUAAAUCAGAUUUGUCCCCCAUGAACUAGCUCUCAAAUACCAGAAUUUAUUAUUUGGUUGACCUUGUUGUUAUAUGAUAUCCAGAUAUCUAUUGGAUAGUAUUAGCGAUAGAAGAUAUAUCAGUCUUAAUUAUCAAAACAGCUAGGAUAGAUAGAGACACACUACUCAAUCAAAGAUUUAAGAAGGAGCUGGAGAUUUUACACUUGUACUACAUGUAUUUCUCUCUCUCUAUAUAAGCAUAUAUAGAGAAGAGAAAGGAAGAACAGCAGAGACGGCAUUGCUCCAUAUACUAGCUAGUGUUGUUCCUCUCCUAGGUAUAUAAUAAUAUAAUGGCACUCGUCAAGACGAGCAGCAUAACAAGGCCGGGCGUGCGUGUGUGUGGUGCCGUGAUUGCUGCUGUCGUUGUUGUGAGCAUGGUGCUGCCUGCUUGUUCCCUGUCCAACGACCUCGAAGAAGAAGAAGAAGAAGAAAUUGCUUGGUUGCAUGCAGCAGAUGAGGAAUUAGACGAGACGAUUUGCAACCCGGUGGUGGUGAAUAAUGGGCAGUGCGAUAUUGUGCGGUGCUCCAUAGAAUGCAUGCAGGAGGCCAGGAAGCAUCCUCGUACUUCGUGCGUGCAUGCCUCCUGCGACAGGCGUGUCCGUCCUCAGGAGUGCUGCUGGACUUUUCGCCACCGCCGUCACGUCGUCGUCGUUGGAGCGCAUCCGUGACUGCUCUAAUUCGUUAUUAUUACUUCAUGUAAUAAUUAAUUAAUGAAUCUCGCAAAAAAAAUAAUAAUUAAUUAUGAUCCGAUCAAUACAAAUUCAAUUCCAAUCCAAUCCAAUAAUAAUAAUAAUAAUAUUAAUAUUAUGGGUUGUGUUGUGCUCGCCUAGUACGUGUUGGUGUUUCACUCGGAAGCGGGCCGGGCCGGGAGCCCAGGACUCGUCGAUCGGGCGUUGGGGCGUGUUUGUUCGUCACCCACUGGGCCAGGAGCCCGGGUCUACCCCGGUACAGCCCAGGGCCUUAUUCCUCCGCUCCGGCCGGCGAGUCCCCGGAUGCGAUGUAUUGGAGCCGUUGGGGCAGGCGACGUGGCACGGGCCCAGUCCAAUCCUAUACCACAGCUAGCGCUAGCAUAUAUUCUCGGACCUUUCGCUAUUUUACCUGUGAGUUCAUCUGUCAUACAGGUUUAGAGUUAAGAUUUUUAGAUUAUAUAUACGAAGCGUAGGUACAAUUUAGAUGCUCAACUCAAAACUCGUUAGUUUGCUUAAUUUGUGACUACCUCGGCUUACCUUGUUAUAAAAAACGAGCCGAGCCAAACUAAAAUUUUAGAUCGUUAGCUACAACAAGUUAACUCGCAAGCCAAGCGAGUCAUAGUUUUAGAAAAAAAAAACUAUCAUAUUUUAUAUUAGUUUUGUAUUACCUCAUGUUUUGCAACUUAUAUGUUAGGUCAUAUAAAUAUUUAGAAAAAAUUUACAUAACUCCUCAAAUUUAGGGUUAUAUUUUAUCGCUCAAACUAUAAAACCGGAUAUUCUAUACUCUGACCUUUCAAAGCUGGUCAAAUAAUGUGCUACAUCGCCUUGGCACGAGAGUUGCCACUUGCGCACGAACGCCUCAUCGCGCGGCCGCUCGAACACCACCAUAAUGCUCAGCGGUUCAGGCACUACGGUUAGCAGCUUAUCAGCCAAAUCUGCUAGACAUUGUUAUCAGCCAAACGAACAAGGCGAAUAUAAAUAAAAAGCCAAAAGACAAGAAAAAUUGCACGAGGUAACGGUAUACGAUGAGAAAAAACUUUAAAAAGUGUAUCUUGUCAUGCAGUAACUGUAUACGAUGAGAAAAUUCUUUAAAAGUGUAUGGCCUUGUUUAGUUCCGAAAAGUGAAAAGUUUUCGGCACUGUAACAUUUUCGUUUGUUUUUGAUAAAUAUUAUCCAAUCAUGGAUUAACUAGGAUCAAAAGAUUCGUCUCGUGAUUUACAGCUAAACUGUGUAAUUAGUUUUUGUUUUCGUCUAUAUUUAAUAUUUCAUGCAUGUGCCACAAGAUUCGAUGUGACGGAGAAUCUUGAAAACUUUUAUCUUGUCAUUACUAAAAAAAUGGUUUACCGGAACUCCAUCGUUUCCGUUUCCGGUUCGGGCAUGGAUUUCCGGACUUGGUUCACAGAGCGAAGUCACCGACCAGAGCGAGUGGCGGCACUGUAGCAUGGGAUCUGAACCGCCCAUCUCAAAACACACAGUCGAAAAUAAUCCAAAGUCGGGCAUGCAUCGCUGCUGCGCGCGCCGAUCUCGGCAUUUCUUGGUGGGGUGGCGACGACUCCCCCUGGGCGAUCACCGCUUUACUCCAGCCAGGUGCCCAGGUCGUCGAGGGGCCCUUCGCCGGCGACGGGCACCCACUUGGUAUGCACACCCCUUCUUUCCCCUUCCUUCUGCUGUGCGAAAUCGACUCAAACCCUAAGGUUUGUUUGGCGAUUUUGUUUCCGAUCUGAUCAAAUUACAAGUGUUUAUAUACAUGUAUUAUGCUGUGCGUGCCUACUGACUUCGAUUUUUUCUUUUUGCAAAGAUUAUGGAGAAGAUUGGGUUGCCUUCGAUGCUGUCCGUGCGAGGCGCCACCUGGGAGGUGGAUGCACCCCACUGCCAGGGCUGUUCUGUUCAGUUUACCUUUUUUACUAGGAAGGUAAAUCAAAUUCGCCUUGCAGCGAUGGCUCACCUCCUGCUUUUUUUUCCUGCUUCGUUUGUGAAAAGUGUAGUUUAGUCCUCCUUCGUAGUCGCUUAAAACUAUCAUGCUUGAUGCAACUAUUUGUUUCAUGUGAUUCCUAAUGUUUUGGUUCAGUUACUUGUGCUCCUUGUUUACUUUACAUGCUCCACAGCCAGCGAAACUCACCUGCAAAGCAAAUUGAUAAAUGAACUUAUUUAUUAAUAAAACCAUCUGCUGGCUGUGGAAGAUACUGACCUUGAUGUUUUCUCGGUCUCAUGUCUCAUCACAGAUGAUAUUGUCGCCCUAGUUCUAGUUUUUAUCAUGACCUUACCUCUCUAGAGUUAAUUCGCAACUGACACUCAUGAAUCCCUUUGGCCGUGCUUGCCAUGAAAAUUGUUUGCCGCUGCUCAUGGCUAGAUCACAGUUUGACCGGAGCUCAAUUUAUUUUUGCUUCAAACCUUGCUGUGUGGGGGGAUCAAGAUAUGUUCUCCAUUGUUUUUCCUUUAGUCAUUUAUUGCUGGUAAAUAUGGUAUUACGGUCUAUCAUGAAGUUAUGAAACUCAAAUCUACUGUUUAGAAAUAUCUCACUUGCUUGCUUGAGUACUUAAUAUGCUUGCGUUCACCAUUUCACGGUGUUUAUGAACAUGCCAUUGGCCAUUCAGUUAAACUGUGAACUCUGUUGUAACCUUAUGGUCUUAUAAGGGGCUGUGUUAACUUUUGGAUAAAUUGAUAUAGCACCAUUGCCGAAGAUGUGGGGGCGUGUUCUGCAACAGCUGCACCCAGCAAAGGAUGGUUUUACGUGGACACCCUGAUUCACCUGUUAGAAUCUGUGAUCCUUGCAAAAAGCUUGAGGAAGCAGCACGCUGCGAAUUGAGAUAUGGACACAAAAAUAUAGCUGCGAGAUCUGAUAUGUGUUUUAGUGAAGAACUAUGAUUUGGUUGAUGCUUGAUACUGCUGUGAAUAUUGAAUUAGUGUAUUUAUGGAAAUCGUAAUAAACUGAUAAAAGUCAAGGCCUUGUUGAUAAAAAAAAAAUCAGACUAUCAGCGUGGAUUCUAUUGAAGAUGCAAUUUAUGUAUUAAUUUGGCUAUCAUCAUCAUAUAGAGCACAUUUGAUCAUGGGGUGGUCGUGUACAAAGUUCGGGCUGGUUCAUACUAUUUCAGAUUCUUUUUAAAAACAUUUAACUAUGUUUUAUGGGAGCUAUAUCUAUAUGCUCAGAAAUAGGGAUACAUUAUUGGCACUAUACAUCUAUACCCUAAUGAAUAAUAAUGGUGCUUGCAGCUUGUCACUAAUGAAGAAUUAAACAUUUCUGGCAAUAUCUUGCUCUUUCUCAGAAAUUAUUUUAUUCUAUGGUUUAUCCUUUGUUAGAAGCAAGUGCCUAACAGCCUAAUUGGUUGCAAUGAAAUAUUUUUGGUCUUCGAUAGAUUCUUCGUAGUUCUGUUUUGUAUGCAGUAUUCUGUAUCACUGUAUUGCACAUACAAAUUUGUCAAAAUAGGAUCUAUGGGAGCUAAAAAUCUUGUGGAAUUAUGUGCGGAAGAUCUAACUAAAAAACCCUUUCAUUCUGUUUCCACAGCUACCACAAAAGCAACCACAAAACCAGAAGAUGAAAUUCUAAGUGAAAUUCUUGGAGGUGAUGGAGUGCAGAUCCAGGUUUCUAGCAAGGAAUCUCUGAAUUCUGAGUUUUCUGGGAUACGUGCAAUCAGUGCCAGUUCCUCCGGAUCCAGUUCGAGAAGAACUACUGCUAAUUUGAAUAUGGACACAGAUGGAGAUGAGAAGCUUUCUGCUGAAGCACAUGAUUUUGAUAUCAACAACGCUGCAGCUGGUUUUACCCCAGAGGAGUUGCGCCAGCAAGCUGUAGAAGAGAAGAAAAGGUACAAAACUUUGAAAUCAGAAGGUAAACCGGAUGAAGCACUGCGGGUUUUUAAGCAUGGUAAAGAACUUGAGAGGCAAGCUGCAGCGCUUGAAUUAGAAUUGAGAAAGAGCCGGAGAAUGGCUACAAAAGCUCCUAAUGUAGCUGCUGCACUUAGUACCCCAACGACUGAUAGUUUUGAUGAGCCUGAAACAAAAAGGUAUUUAGCUGGGAAAAGGGUCAAGAAAGAAAAGAAUGAUCUUGCCUCUGAGCUCAGAGACCUAGGCUGGUCAGAUGCAGACCUUCGUGAUGAAACGAAGGCAGCCCCUAUGAGUGUGGAAGGAGAGCUGUCACAGCUUCUUAGAGAGGUGGCCCCUAAAUCAUCGGAGGGCAAGAAAACAGGUGGUAUCAAUAAAUCUCAGGUUAAUGCUCUGAAGAGGCAAGCCUUAUUGCUGAAGCGGGAAGGUAGACUUGCUGAAGCAAAAGAAGAGCUGAAGAAGGCUAAAAUCUUGGAAAAACAACUAGAGGAACAGGAGAUUCUGGGUGAAACAGAAGACUCGGAUGAUGAUUUGGCUGCCAUUAUUCAGAACAUGGAUGAUGAUAAGCAUGAUGGCAUAUGGAUGGAUGAUCCAAACAUCCCUGCUUUUAACUUUGAACAAAUUCUCGGUGCCUCUAAUGAUCUUGCCAUUGAUGGGCACUUUGAUGUUACGGAUGAUGACAUGAACGACCCAGAUAUGGCUGCUGCCCUAAAAUCAUUUGGCUGGAGUGAGGAGGAUGACAAACAAUUGGAACAUCAUGAGCCUGUUUCUUCUUCAAAUCAAGAUGUGCUAAAGGAGCAAAUGCUUGCUCUUAAAAAAGAAGCUGUUGCAAACAGAAGGUCUGGUAAUGUUGCAGAAGCCAUGACCUUGCUUAAGAAGGCAAAACUACUUGAGAAGGAUAUGGAAACUGAAGAGCCAGAAUCAAAGGUUGCUUCUCCAGAGGGGCAGAAAACUAUGCUUGCAGAAGAUAUCACUUUUGCAGGGACGACUGCACGACCUGUAUUGGCACAUCGAAGUAAGCUAGCAAUUCAGAGAGAACUGUUGGCUCUGAAGAAGAAGGCACUAGCUUUGAGGAGGGAAGGGAAGGUGGAUGAGUCGGAGGAAGAGCUGAAGAAAGGUAGCGUUCUAGAAAAACAGCUUGAAGAAUUUGAGAAUGCUUCCAAACCUGUAGCAAAGGAAACCAGGAGCUUUGCAUCUAAUCCCCCGUACAAGGUUGAACCCCCAAGUCUCAAUCUUGCUGAUGAUGGAUAUGAAUCUGAGGUUACGGACAACGACAUGCAAGAUCCAGCAUUGUUAUCCAUGCUGAAAAAUAUGGGGUGGGAAGAUGUUGAUACUGAUUCUGCAAAAAGAAAUGACAAACCAUUGGUUUCUUCACAUUUAGUUAUCCAGAAAUCAUCAAAAGCUAAGGUUCAGCUUCAGAAGGAAUUGCUUGGUAUAAAAAGAAAGGCUCUUGCACUCAGACGGGAAGGGAAAAACAUAGAAGCUGAGGAGGAACUGGACAAGGCUAAGGUCUUGGAGCAGCAACUUGCAGCGAUCGAAGAAUCAAAUAGCUCGACUGCUAGUCAAGGUGUUACUAAUGCUGGACAUCAGAUUAUUGAAAAUAAAUUAGAUGUUCAGCAUGUCUCUACUAUUGAUGCAACUGUACCCACAUCUUCAGUAACAAAAACAAUGAAAUGGGACGAUAUGUUGCAGGCACAUGGAUCUGAACCUGGUAUAUCUGUGGAUACUCUGGGUGAUUCUCCAAGCAAACUGCAGGUUGAGACAACUGGUUCUAAACAAAUUCAUGUGGCAAAAGAAAGUAGUGAUGGAGCAUCGUCAGCCUUGUCACGUCCAUCUUAUACUAAUUCUCUGGGAUCUGAAAAAGGGUCACAUUCACCUUCUGAACUACGUGUUCGUAAAGAGCCUCACAAAACACAUGGAGAUGAUAUUCUUACAGAUGAGAUCUUAUUUCAUAAGAGAAAAGCAGUUGCCUUCAAGAGAGAAGGGAAGAUGGCAGAAGCUAGAGAAGAACUGAAACUGGCAAGACUCUUAGAAAAACGCCUUGAAGGUGCUCAACAAGACAACAUGGAUGGUGAUGAUAACUUCAUUGCUCCUGCUGGGGGACAGAGCAUCGUGGCCCAACAACGUGCUAGUUCUAGCAUCCAAACUGAUGGUGUGGCUUCUGCCCCUCCUGCACAGGCGAGCAAGUCGACACAACCUCAGAAAGUAAUGUCCAGCCGAGACCGUCUUAAAAUUCAACGUGAAUCCCUAGCUCACAAGCGCAAUGCCCUCAAGUUGCGGAGAGAAGGAAAGAUUGCAGAAGCAGAUGCAGCAUUUGAACUGGCCAAGGCGCUAGAGAGCCAAUUGGAAGAGUCAGACAACCAAGGUUCAAGCUCCGGAGUCAAGUCAGGUGAACCAAAUGACGCGAUGGUGGAGGAUCUUCUUGAUCCUCAAAUCAUGUCCGCCCUAAAAUCCAUAGGUUGGAGCGACAUGGAUUUAUCCAUGCAAUCUUCUAGUACACAACCUCCUAAGCCCCCGCAGACUUCAAAAGGUCAGCCUACGCAGAAAGUGGAAGUGAAGCCAGCCAUUACAGUGGCCAGCAAGCCUCAGAACGAGAGAAGUCAGCUUGAAGAACAGAUCAAGGUGGAGAAACAGAAGGCACUCAACUUAAAGCGGGAAAGGAAGCAGACUGAGGCCUUGGAGGCCCUUCGCUCAGCAAAGCGACUGGAGAAGAAGUUGUCCUCACUUAGCUAACUACUACCAGAUUGUUUGUCUUCGAUGUGACAAACUAACAUUACAAUUGAAAACCCACUGAAUGUGGCCGUGAUAUAUGUAGAAUCAUAGAUAAUAUAAACUUCAAUUCAAGGCAUUUGUAUUUUGAUUGGUCCUUGGCAGUUUGUGUGAUCCUUUUGGACUCCACUAGUAACUGGUUUGUGAAUCACAAUCAAGCAGCGAUAUGGGCUUACAUAGUUGCAUUUGCAUCUAAAGUGGGCAGAACUUAUGCGUGUCAUGAAGAGACUGAGGUUUGAUGCAGAGUCAAUGUUGUGGUUUAGGGCACAUUGAGCCAAAUGUACAUAGAUUUUGCGUACAUUUACAAAACUUUGAGGCAGCAUUUGCAUUUCAUUGCUGAAGCAUAUUCUUGCUUAUCUGUGCCCUUGAAAUCUGACCCUGCAGAAAGUGUUAUGUCCUGGCCUUCUGAAAGCAACUGUACUUUCGACCCAUGUCAACUUGCUGUACCUCUUGAGGCAUCAGAGGAUACAUGCCAACCACCUAAUUAUUUCGCCAAUAUGCCAAUUCUCAUUGCAGUGGCUGGUGGCUCAAAUAGUAGUUGCUGUUGGUGGUAAGACAUUCAAAUUUAUGUACUCAUACUCACUAGUACAAUUGUGUUUCUUACAUGCAAAGUUGAUGGAGUGAGACGUUUCUAGUCACUAAUAAUUUUUCCUCUGUGAUUUUUCACAUGCAGGAUUGCUAGCAGCUAGCAUGCCAAAGGAGGAAUUAAGUGACUGAAUAAUCAACCUGGCCAGAUCCAUACAGCACGCAUCAAUAGGGAGAACUUAUGUUGUUGUUGUUGACCCAAUGAAGCAGCAGUUGGUCGCAAACCUGAGAAAUGGGAAGAAUUGCAUGAAGAGUCAAGAUCUUGUUUAAGGCCUAGUGGAGUUCAGGACAACUCUGGAGGAGAUUGUUUUGAGGAAAAGAAAGCUGCACAAGGAUUAGGUUCUUUUCUCCCUGACAACCUCCAUUAAUGUUUACCUCUGCUGUUCUUCUGAGGGUGUGUGUGUGUUGUUAUUCUCUUCUUUCUAUGAAUGAUACGCAGCUGUGUGUUUGAGGAACUUUAAAAAGACUCUGUUUAUGUUUUACCAGCGCCAUAAAAAUUGGUCAGUCAGGCUACAUAAUAAACCAUUAAGUGUAGUUGACAGAUGGAGUACCAGUGCUGUUGCCCUCAUUAUGGCAUUAUGGCUUCAGGCAUUAGCUAAGUAGUGGAUAGCGGUAUAUUAGAACUUCUGAAAAUGACUGAAAUGUUUGGUGUUGUUUCACCUAGGUGUGUUUGUUGCUUCUGGGAGAGGAGGGGGGGGGGGGGGGGGGAGGAGGAGGAGAGGAGAGAACUUCUGUUUGAGUUGCGUCAACGAACUAAGUUAUGUGAUUUGUUGAGGUUGCAUUAGUUUAUACUGUUGCUUAAUGUUUUUUUUCCAGAAACAAAUAUGUUGUUGUUCCAAAUUAAGUAUACUAGUUUUUAGGUCCAACCACGUGCAAUUUGGAUGCACAAAUUGUCUUAAUGGAUAGCUGAUACUUGAGGUAGCUGCUUACUGAAGAUGCAUACUUUAGACUUUUAUAAUUGUCUGUCGUUUGUGUGCUUAGUAAGUCAGCUUUGGAGAUUUGCAUGUAGGACGUUGCUUGAAGCAAAUUCUGUUGUGAACUGGCAGUAGUGGACUUCAUAGCAGCCGACUGAAAUGACUGUAUGCUAGUGGUUAGCAUGCAUAAGAUGGAUUUAAUUGUGUUUCAAAUUAAACCUGUGGCUGCAGUGAACAAACUUAUGUAAUUUCGAAUUUCUACUUAUUGCAUUGGUGUAUAGUGGCGCUUAAAUUUGCGCUGCAUAAGAAUAUUUUUUGUUUCAAGCUUCAGUCACUUGCAGUGGCAGGCACAAACCGUUGAUCCGCUGUUGCUUAUUAGUUGAUAUACGGUGUUACUUAUGAAGUGACCUGAGAAUUUCCUCACUUGCUAUUUGGCUUUCCGCCAGGUGCAUGCAUCGCUGAUUCGCUGCAGAAGUUGGGGGAAUACACCGAGAAGCAAUGAGGCAGCACACAGGUUGUGGAGCUGUCCAUGGAGACGGGAGAGGAUUCCGGCUCCACCAAGGCCUGUCAUUCUGUCACGGCGUCACGCCAUAGCUGACUGCUAGGGAUGAAAACGGAUCGGAUACGGACGGAUAUCACCGAUAUCAUAUUUGUUUUCACAUUUCUGGUCGGAUUCGGAUUCGAAUACGGAUAAUAUCAAUUAUGUCGGAUAAGUUAUGAUUGGAUGUCGACAUCGUAAAUAUACGAUUUAAGUAUUCGGAUACGGAUACGGUAUCGGAUGUUAAACAUUCGGACUCGAAUACGGACAGAUCUGAACCUCUCUAAACGAAUUCGGUCUCGAAUACGGUCGGAAAAUAUCCGUACCGUUUUCAUCCCUACUGAGCGAGUGGGAGCCCGGCGAGUAAGGGGUGGUUGGCCUGGUGGGCUGUUGUGGAGUAUAUAUAUAACAAAUAAAUAUAUAAAUAAAUGUCGAUGGUGCUGUUCGCCUAUCUUUGCAUGUAUCUUUGCACAAUAGCUGGAGAUCUGCAUCUGAGGGAAAGUUGAAGCAAAUUUUGCUGUGAACUAGUAGCAGGGUUUAUAUCAACUGUCUGAAUGUUAUUGCCAAGCAUCAUAUCAUACAAAUAUAAUUUGUCUUUCAAACUUGUGGUUGAGUUACCUCAAUGAACUAAGUUAUGUGAUUUGUUGAGGUUGUAUUAGUUUAUACUGGUUUCUGAGAUAAUAUACCUGCCUACCGAUUUCUGUAACAUCAAUCAAUUCAUAUGUUUGCACUCUGCACUGCAGUCAUGAAGAAAAUGAGAACUGAAAUAGUGAAUUCUGGAAAAGAGAAAGGGAAUGAAGAAAAUGAAAAGUGAAUGGAAUGAAAGAUGACGAUCAUGUCCCGGCCCAUCGUAAUUUCCUUGUCCUGUUUCAGCGGCUCGGACGUUUCUGCCAAAUGCCAACGUGUCCGGCCGCGCUUGGCGUCGUCACCAACAACACAACAGGACGGACUCCUCCAUUGAUGUCCCGUGAAGCUCGCACGUCCCCACACCCAUGUCCACCUCUCCUCUCCUCUCCUCUCCUCUCCACUCCCAUAUAUAGACUCCACCACACGCACGUCUCAUUGCAAGGACGACAUUCCCCAAAGCCAGCACUCACAAAGAGCAAAAAAAAAAAAAAAAUCACCACCCUGCAACUGCAAUAAUGGCCCAGACUAGCAUGAGGAUGGUGGCGCUGGCCCUGGUGGCCCUCCUGGUGGUGGCGGCGGCGUCGGUGCCCGCCGCCACCGCGUACGGCUGCUACGACGACUGCUACGAGCGCUGCGCCAACGGGAAGGACGACCCCGCCUGCACCAAGAUGUGCAACCAGGCGUGCGGCACCACGGAACAGGGCAAGCCCGCUGCUGCCGCCGGCGGCUUCCCGGCUUGAUCUCCCACGCAUUAUUUCAUCGGUUCAUCAGCUCCAUAAUAUAUAUGUAGUAUAAUCCCUGCUCCGUCAGCCCACAUUUGAUUUUAUCUUCCUCCUUUGAUUUCUCGACCCCAUUGAUUUUUUCUUCCCCCUCUUCUUCUUCUACUAUACUAUCAGUUUAUUAUUCUUGUGUUCAUGUCUCUGAUAUAUGAUUCGUUUUGUAAUUCCUGCAAUUUGCAAGUGAAAUGGCCUCUAUGAUUCAAGUUUCUUUUUAAAUGAUUAUUAUUGUGCCUCCGGUUUCAGUUUUGCUGUAUGUUUAACAGUAUGAACACAUCUCAAUCUGUUAGUACUACUACAUUCUGUCAAUCUCUGAUGCGAUGCGAUGGGAUGUCCCCAAUGGAAUGCAAUGCAAGAAACUAGCUAGCUAUAGCUACGUGAUGCCGCGCGCGCAUCCCCAUCCGGCCAUCCCGACGGGAAUGGGGGAUCAGGAGGAGGCCGGCGGCGGCGGCGGGAAGGGCACCUCCAGGAGCCCUUCCAGCAUCAGGAUGACGCUCCUCAUGGCGGGCCUCGCCUGUGGCUCCGCCUGCGCGCACCACACCGCCACCUUCACCGCCCGCUCCACCUCCGCGGCGUCCACGACCUCGUCGCCGCCCACCACCCGCCACACCUCGCCGCGCACCAGCCACUCGUGCGCGCACUCCAUGAGCGUCCGCUCCUCGCCGGCCUCCUCCAGCUCCAUGCUCCGGCGGCACGUGACGAUCUCCAGCAGCACCACGCCGUAGCUGUACACGUCCGCCUUCACCGUCACCGGCCCGGUGCCGCGGUACCACUCGGGGGCCAGGUACCCGCGCGUGCCGCGGACACCCGUGAACGUCCGCGUCUGGUCCGGGAGCAGCAGCUUGGCCAGCCCGAAGUCGGCGAUCUUCGCCGUCCCCGACGCGUCCAUCAGGAUGUUCUGCGGCUUCACGUCGCAGUGGAUCACCCGGCUGUCCAGCUCGUCGUGGAGGUAGUGCAGCCCGCGCGCGACGUCCAGCGCGAUGCCCAUCCGCUCGCCCCACGCCGGCGGUCCGCCGCUGCUGUUCUUGAACAGACGCUCCGCCAGCGACCCGUUGCUCAUGUACUCGUACACCAGCAGCCGGUGGGCGCCCUCGUGGCAGAACCCCAGCAGCCGGACCAGGUUCCGGUGGCUCGUCCGCCCGAUGGCGCGCACCUCCCGCUGGAACUCCACCUCCCCAUCCUCCACCAUCUUCUCCAGCCGCUUCACGGCGAUCGCCUUCUCGCCGCCGUUGUGCGGCAGCGUGCCCCGGAACACCGUGCCGAACGCGCCGCGGCCCAGCGGCUCGCGGAAGCUCCACGUCGCGUGCUCUAGCUCCUGGUAGCUGUACGACCUCAGGGGUGCCUCCUCGUCCAGGGCCGCGUCCGGCUCCGCGGUCGUCCUCCGGUUCGUCAGGACCAGCCGCGCCGCCGCCACGAGCGCGGCUAGCGACACGAACGUCAGGACCCCGAUGCAGACCAGCGCGAUGGUGGCCGAGCGCCCGACGCCGCGGCCCCCGCCGCCGCCGAACGAUGGGCUUCCCGCGGCGUUCUUGACGAACAGAGUGUACCCGCCGCCCGCGCGGCCGUAUCGGAGCGGGAGCUGCUGCUUGGUGCAGGUGCCGUCGUUGCUGUUGAGCAGAACGGCGGCGCAGAGGCAGUCGGCCACGCACGCAGCCUGGCAGUCGGCGGCGCUCGUGCCGGCGCCCAGCACCCCGUACGGUGUGUCCGCCCACGACAUGUUCUGCAUCGGGACCAUGCUAGCAGUAGCAGCAGAACCAGCCGUGGCGCAGUCACCAGCGCUUGUGGUCUCGGUGCACCCGAGCGGCGCGUUGGCGGCGUCGAUGAAGCUGAACCCCGGCGGGCACCGGCAGUCGGGUUGCGCGUCGCCGCCGAGGACGCAGUAGCUGUUGAGCCCGCACGCUCCCUUCACGUGGCACCGGUCGUCCGGCCCGAUCCACUGGACACCGGUCGUCCACGCGCCUCCCGACGCGACGGCGUGGCGGUACAGGCGGAGGACCCCGUCGGGGUCGAGCGUCACCCGGUACAAGACCUGUGUCUCGCCGGGAGACCGCGGCGCCCCGGCCCGCGUCAGGUUCUUGGUGUAGUUGCCGUUGUUGCCGGUGACGUAGAGCACACCGGUGGCGUCGAGGCGCAGGGUGAGCGGGAAGCCGAUCUGGAACGUGCCGGUGGCCCAGUACGCGGCGUCGGCGGUGUUCUCCGUCUGGACCGGGUACAGGACGAGGUUGCCGUCGUUGAGCUGGUUGGUGAGGCGGUACCUCCCCGUGGCUCUGUCGGUGAGCGAGACGCUGGAGAAGAGCUGCGCGCCGGGGACGAGGUCCUGGCCCGGGAGCAUGGUAUCGGUGGGCGCGGCGGGGGCGGCGAAGGUGGACCAGACCACGGUGCCGUUGGCGUCGUAGAGCACGAAGCUGCCGUCGUCGCGCAUGGCGGCGGCGGCGGCCGGCCGGGGUGGCACCGCGAGGGUCCUGUCUUGCCCGUCGGCGGGGCCCGUCCAGACCAGGCGGCCGUCGUAGGUGAGCCAGAGCGCUCCGCCCGUGGACGGCGUGUCGUUGCGGUUGGCCGUCCACGUGACGGUGAUGUUGGGGGAGGUGGCGAGCCAGACGCCCACGGCGAGGCCCCCGUCCGUGCCGUAGAAGCCGAACGCGAAGCGGCCCGACGGGGACGGCCAGGCGGCGCCCGCGGCCGCCUGCAGCGAGGUCCCCGAGGUGAUUUUGGUGGCCAGCUGCUGCGCCUGCGCGGCGGCACCUGGCACGACGGGCACGGAAAGAAGCGUGGCGAGCGCGAGGGACAGCAGCAGGCGGAUGGGAGCCAUGGCGCGCGUCGGCGGCCAAGCUAGCUAAAUGAACUCCACCAUAUCGAUCUGCUGAAGGAGGAGGAGGAGAGGAAUGAUGAAUUGAAUUCAUUGACCGGUAGCAUGCUGAUAAGAUUUGCUUAGUAUAUGGUCCUUGCAAGUAAACUAGAGAUUUGGUUGUGUUAUUAGUCAAACAUCGUUCCAUCAUGCGUGUAUUAAGUCCAAGCUGAAUAUGAACGUACGUACAUGAGGAUAUAUUUAGGUCACCUUUCAUAUAGGCCAAAUUGGUUUAUUUUAUAGUAUUCAUACACUUGUAGUGGUAGUGCACUAUUAUGUUUAUAUAUCUGGAAAUGCAUGCUGGACGCAUGUGUUGGCAUUGGGUCUUAUGGCAUGUAAGGAUCGGGAUGGUCGUUUAAAUGGAUAGUGCAGUUCUUCUCUAAUGUAACUAAAUAAACUAAAUAAAAAAAUUAUCUAUUUAGUUUAUUAAAUUAUAUUAGAGAAGAACCGUGGCUAUCCACUAUCCCUAUCUUAAUAAUAGCAUGCAUGUCAGCAAAUUCAGACUGUAUUCUGAUUUCGAUGUUGCAUGGGAUUGUAGUAUCGACUUUUUUUUAGAUAUAUCGACCAAGACCAUAAAAAAGGAAGGUGAUGAAAUGACUUGGAUGAAACAUUAAUUCUUUUCUUCUAUUCUAGAAAGGGGCAGUGUACUGUACCAAGUUUGAAUAUAAUUAUAAGUUCAAAAAAAGUUUGAAUAUAAUUAUUCCUACGCGAAAAAAAGAAGGCAACAUAUAUAAUCUUUUUGGGUAUUUUUUCUAGCCAUAUAGGCUCGUACAACUUGGCACACACACAGAGGGCCGUCUCUAUAAUUUUGAGGGCCCUUGUGCAAGCAAAAGGGUAAGGACUUAUCAAAUAUUUUUUUGAUAUGUCAAAUAUAAAAUAUAUAGUACAACUAAAAAGAAUUAAUUUGCACCAUAUGUUUUAGUUUAUAAAAGGUAGUUAUAGUACAACAAAUAAAUAAGUAGAAUAGAAUUAGAAAUUUAGAACUCUAUCACGGAAUACUAAUAAUAAAAUUGGUGAAGUCUCGAUCAGCUAUGCCCUUACUCUUCCUGCUCUAGUGUCUAGUAGUGACAUAGUGUGCGGACGUGUGGUGUUUGCGUGUCAGGAAGCCAUAUUGUUGCAUUGGACGAUUGGGCAAUAGGACGAGAAGACGAUAAAGAGGAACAUUGAUUUGCUCAACUAAUCGAUCAAGCGAGAAUAUGAAGCAAUACUAGCAAUCGGUGGAUGUGGAUGAUGUACUGAUUAAUGGAUUUCUUUUUUUAGAUUAAUAGAUGGAUUUCUAUAGUGUCUAUAUAAGCCUAUAAAAAAUUAGAUAAAUCUAUAUACUGAGUAUUAUAUAUAUUACAUAUAUACUUAUAGGCCCCUUAGUGCCGUGGGCCUCCGGCCGCCGCACCGGCUGCCCACCCCCUAGAGACGGCCCUGCACACACACUACUACCCCCAUCUCUCUCUUCUCUCUCUUGGCAGGCACGUGAUGGGUCCCGCUCUUUGUAUCCCCAUGUCUUCUUCCUUUUGUCAAUGUGGUCACAUGACGUCUUCCACCUAUAGAUGCACUCUCUCCUUUUCUUAGAUGUGUCAUCUCCCUCUCGCUCUCCUUAUCUUUCCCCAAUCCUGGUGGACUUAGAAGAGGCUCAGGAGAGGUAGGCCGGCCGGACAGGCAGUGUGGACAAUCGGAGGACGGCGUUAGGGUUUCCAGCGGCAUGGUAGGAAGCAACCUAGCCAAGGAAAGGUGGGAACAUCUUUGGCCAUGGCGGCGACAGGAGGGGAGAAGGGAAAGAAGGACGUCGUCGUGGGUAAUACGGUCUCGCAAGAUCUCUACCGCCCACGGUGGCAGUGAGGAGCAGGGCAAACCCAGGAGGUGGGCGAUCGACACGGACGGUGGCGAGGGAUCCGCUAGUCGAGAGCGGCGUUUGUGGAAGGUAAGGGUGGGGGCAAGGACAAUGAAUGAUGGGCCGAACACAAGGAGGAAGACCAGCGGGAACGUAGGAGAAAGGCCAGAGGAGGAAGAAGGUGACUGUGUAUUCCAUAUGCCAAUCGCAUGGCCAGCUAUGCAUUAGCCACAUCUAAUCUUUUAUUUAUUUAUUUAUUUAUUUAUUUUGAAACUUAAUUUCUAUUGAUAUAUGCUCGGCAAAUCUGGUUCUCACGUAGCUUUAAUUUUAAAAAGAAAAGGAAGAUAAGGUCCUGUUUAGUUUCCCACCCAAAAUUUUUUCAUCCAUCCCAUCGAAUCUUUGGACACAUCCAUGGAACAUUAAAUGUACAUAAAAAAAUAAACUAAUUACACAGUUUGGUUGAAAAUCGCGAGACAAAUCUUUUAAGCCUAAUUACUCCAUGAUUAGUCUUAAGUGCUACAAUAACCCACAUGUGCUAAUGAUAGAUUAAUUAUACUUAAUAGAUUUGUCUUGUAGUUUCCUGACGAGCUAUGUAAUUUGUUUUUUUAUUAGUUUUUAAAAACCCCUUCUGACAUCCUUCCGACAUAUCCGAUGUGACAUCCAAAAAAUUUUCAUCUCCAAUCUAAACAGUAGAAACGAAUAAUGGGAGUCGACAAAGGCAAUAGCAUACCCUGACUGGCUACCGCUAGCAGUAGCAGCUAGAGUAGAGCCAGAGCCGCCGGACCAGCCAGAAUUGACUUGAGCACAAUGUACACGGUGCCGUAGGAUUGUGGGAAAUCCAGGAACCUUUAGUUUUUGAGAAUUUUUGCAACAAAAAAAUCAUAUCAAAUCUUAUGGCACAUGUAUGGAGCACUAAAUAUAUAAAAUAAUUAUUAAUUAUAUAUUUUAUCUGUAAUUUAUAAGAUAAAUCUUUUAAAUCUAGUUAGCCUAUGAUUAAAUAAUAUUUGUUAAAUAUAAAAAAAGGUACUUUGUUCUCUAUUUUGUAAUCUUUUUGCAACUAAACAAGGCCUGGGAAUGGAAAGCCACAGGGGCUAUCUACGCAGUGCUGGCUAUUUAAUUUCACGACGAAAUAGGAGUGGCGUCUACGAGCGAGUGAGCUUUCGUGGGUCUCCAUGGUCCUUAGGCGUUAGUUCACCCCCAAAAGUUCUAGUUUUUUUUUAAGAUUUUUUUUUUCAUAUCAAAUCUUACGGCACAAGUAUAAAGCAUUAAAUAUAGAUAAAUAAAGUAGCUAAUUAUAUAAUUUACCUAUGAUUUGAAAGAUAAAUCUUUUAAAUCUAAUUACUUAAUGAUUGGACAAUAAUUAUUAAAUACAAACAAAAAUAAUACAGUAACCAAAUUUAAAAAUUUCCGUCAACUAAAUAAGUCCUUAAUUUGCACGACCAGGAAUCCACGAUGCAGCAGCAUCGUCAAAUUCGUCACUCGUCGUCGUCAUCCUUCCACCUCUCCGAUCCGGCCAAUUCUUCGUCCCUUCCAAGGGUGACUGACCAUGGACACGGACGACGUUGGUCAACACACCGUCUCUAGUGUCUCUUGUUAAUCACUUUUUCCAAAACAAAUAUACUGAGACUUAUUUAUGUCAUAUCUUAUAUUAUGAAUAAUGUCCGGUGGCAGCGGGCGUGAUUGAGGCUGCCACAUCAUCUCUGGCAUCCCUUCAACUUAGCGGUUCUCUUCGCUGGUGGCUACCCGCGGCAGCUAGCUUAGACUGUCGUUGCUGCUUUACUCACUCCUACUAGUCACGCAAUUGUUGUUUUACUUAGACCUUGUUUACAGUUCACCCUAAAAAUAAAAAAAAAUUUCAAGAUUCUUCAUCACAUCGAAUCUUGUGGCACAUGCAUGGAGCAUUAAAUAUAAACAAAAAUAAAAACUAAUUGUACAGUCUGACUGUAAAUCACGAGAUGAAUCUUUUGAGCUUAGUUAGUCUAUGAUUAAAUAAUAUUUAUCAAAUAAAAAUGAAAAUAUUAAAAUACCAAAAUCUAAAAUAUUUUCGAAACUAAACAAGCUAGGCCUUAGAACAAAUGUUUUAGCUCCACCGAGACAGCAUGUGCCUUGUGUUAGUGUUUACCCACAUGCUUGGUGGUAGCUCGCCAUCUCGCGCUGUUUAGGCAUGUAAUACUUUUCUAAAUUUCUCUUAAUGAAAAUCGUGCCAAGCGUGUUCCUAAAAAAAAAUAUUGUUGAAGAUAUUAUAACUUUCUUUCACUAAUAGAUAUAGAAAGUUAUAAUAUCUUCAACAAAUCUAAUCAAUCAUCAAAUCUAAAAUAUAAACGUUUAAUUUGAUUAUAUUCUUAGAAAGAAAAAAACAAAUGACAUCUACAGAGAAUGCUUAGGUCUUGUUUAGUUUUAAAAAAUUAUAAAAUAAACAUUGUAGUACUUUCUUUGUAUUUGAUAAAUACUUAUCUAAUCAUGGACUAAGCAUCUCCAAAGGCUUUGGCAAAUUGACUUGGCAUUUGUUGCUAUUUGCAAACUCCCAUAACAAGAUGCAAAGGAUAAAAAUAAGUCAUCUCCAAGGGAAUUGGCAUUUGGACUUGGCAAAGGAUAAAAAUAGAAGGUCUCCAGGCGCGCGCGCUUUCCUUGCGCGUGACUUUGCUCGCGCGAUCGGGUUUGCAAAGUCGUUCACAACUUGGCAUUUUUGCCAAGUUUGCUCCCUCAUUUGCCAAGUUGUCCAAAUUGUAAACUCCAAAUGCAAAACCGUUGGAGACCUCUUUUGGAGCUUUUUGGUAAAUUACUCAAAUGCAAACCUCAAAUGCAAAACCCUUGGAGAUGCUCAAGAUCUAUACUUGCAAAUUACAGUUAAACUGCGUAAUUAGUUCAUACAUAUGCCAUAAGAUUUAAUGUAAUAAAAAAUCUAAAAAAAAUUUUAAAAAUUUUUGGAAACUAAACCAGGCCUUAGCCAUGACCAGGACCAUGCCAUGCGUUGGCACAACGAGGUAGGUGUGCCGUAGCAACCUGGGAGUAGGUAGCUAGCACACGGGCACGAGGCUACGACGACGCCGACGAAAACGAGUGACGUCGUCGUGGCAUAUGCAUUUAUAAUGCAUUUUGUCCCCAUGCAUCGAGCGCUACUGACCUUUCGUCGAUGAUCCAUAGACCAUAUGUAGAUAAAAUAUUCAGCUUAAGGACGAGACGAAUUUAUUUGGAUCACGUUUCAAUAGACCAAAAUUUGUUAAUUUAUAUGAAAAAAAUGGUUGGCGAUUGGGAAGCUCGAAUAUGUUAUACAUCCUGUGUUCAAAUUGACAAUAAUCCUUUGUCUAUCUUAAACAAAGCUAUAAUACAGUAAAGUUCUAGAGAAGCGCUAUACUAAAGUAACUCGUGCCCAGAAAACAAAGGAUUUGAUUCUAUAACAGUGCUAUACUGCUAUGCUAAAGUACGUUACUUUUAACUAAAAUGAUAUAAAAUAACUAAUAUUUAAUCAAAUAAGUAUUAGUAGAUUUAUCGUAAAUAAUCCCUUGUUUAGUUCUAAUUUUUUUUACAAAAUAGAUAUUGUAGCACUUUCAUUUGUAUUAGAUAAAUAUUGUUCAAUCAUGGACUAACUAGGUUCAAAAGAUUCGUCUUGCAAAUUAUAGGUGCAUUGUGUAAUUAAUUUUUAUUUUCAUUUACAUUUAGUGCUCUAUGCAUGCAUCUAAGAUUCGAUGUAACGUGGAAUCUGAAAAAUUUUGUAACUUUUUUUGAAAAUUAAACAAGGCCUCAAUGGGGCCUCCAAGGCAAUUACAUAUCGUGACCGCUAUCAGAGCAACAAGAAUUGACUUGGCUCUUGAGCACACCGCACGAGUCAAACUACACACUGCUCGUGUGCCAAAGGCUAGCUCGGCUCGGUUUAUUUAUAAGCUUGAUCAGUUAACUCAUUUGACUUGCAAGUCGAAGCAUAAAAAUAUAGUAUAUAGAGAUUAUAAUCAUAACAACAAACACAUCAUGUAGAUAUUUAAAAUGAAAUAGACAAAAUACAUAUAAAUUUUACAAAGGAAAAUAUAAGUAUGUGCUAUAUCAUCGAUCCACGACCACAAUCCAUCAUCAUCUGUUAAUCAAUCCCGUUCAUUCAUACAAUAUUUAAGAAUGAAGCAAAAUAAAUGAGCGAUCGACACACCAAAAGGUGCUCACAGGAAUUUAUCAUCAACAACAACAAAAAAAUGUCGGCAUGCAAUGUGUGGUCCUAUGGAGACCAAAACAGAGAAAUCAAAACUAGAGGGGGAGCAAAGGAAUCGUCUCGCAUGUAUAUGAUGCCACGAAAAAAAUUGCGGGCUAUCCAAAAAUAGCGCUGGAUGAUUCUGACCGCUAUUUUCCGCUAUAGCGCCGCUAUAGCUCCGCUAUAGCGACCGCUAUACGACGUAGCGGUCGCGCUAUGGUGCCGCUAUAGCUCCGCUAUAGCGCCGCUAUAGCCCGCUAUUUAAAUACAGCACACAUCAGAUGAAAAGUUUAAAACUAAAAUCUCACAAGUGACAAGUAACUCACAAGUCACAACCCAUACCCAUGAUCUAAUAGUCUAUUUAUUACAAUCCAAAUUCAAAAGCAAAAGACAUAAAGCCACAAGUGACAUAGUUCGAUAAGCAACUAAAAGUCUGAAACAUAAAUGAAAUGACAAGCACUAAGCACACUUCAGGCUUAGCGGAAAAAUAGCGGCGCUAUGCCGAUAUAGCGGUUUAGCGGCGCUAUAGCGGAAAAUAACGGAGAUAGCGCUGAUAGCGGAAAAAUGACUGAUAUCGUCGCGGCGUUUUAAAUAUCCCGCUAUAGCGGCGCUAUAGCGGAAAAAUAGCCCGCUAUUUUUUUUCGGUGAUAUGAUGUCAUAGGGGUAGGCCGGUGGGGUGGGGAGAGGUUGAGUCGUGGAGUCUAUUGGUUUAGGGUUUUAAUGUUAAUCAUUUUAUAGCAUAAGUAGACGGAUAUAUAGACUGAUUAAAAUUGUUGGCUUGUUAUUUAUAUGAGCUUAUUUUAGCUCAUGAGCUAGCUUACUGACUAAACCAAGCUAGAUUUUAGGUUAGUUUGUUAAAAAAUUCAAACGAGUCGAGCUGAGCUACUAAUAAGCCGAGUCAAACGAAAAAGAUACUCCCUUAACGUAUAUGACAUGAUUAUGGUAGCCAAGAAGUGAUUAAUUAGUGGUUAGUUUUUCAUGUCUACCCGUAAUAGUUAAAUAUGAUUAUGAGUGCUCUCUGUAUAAGAAAAUAAACCAACUCAGCUGGAUUGUGUGUAGAGACUAAAGCAUUGGGUCUCAGAUUCGAUCCUUAAUGGCCACUCAGCUUGUGCGUGAGCAGGCACAACGUGCACUAAGCAUGUCUGAGUUGAUCAGACCGUCAACUAAAACAGUUAAGUUAACAGGUACGGAGGGAGUACUGUUCUAAUCCAGCCCUACGUGGAGCACCGGUGACCUUUCGUCGGUGCAUGGUCUUUUAUUUUUGCACGAUGCAUCCAGCGUCAUCUUCGAUUCGUCACUCGUCAGUCGUCGCAGCACACGCAAGCAUUUGUUCCACCUUGGUGGGCUUCUCCGAUCCGACACCGUUCCAGAGGUGACCAUGGACACGUGCGUACUAGGUCAACACACCAUCUCAAAAUCACUUUUCGCGGUAUUUAUGAAAUAUGAAGUAUCCUCAAUUAAUAUUAUUAAUUAGCUUGUAGAUUAAUAGUUUCAAAAUGAACAUAGACAAUAAAAGUAAUUAAUAGUACCUUCCACGAAUAAUAUUCAGGGAGCUGACUGGAGAAUUCAAGAGAGCAUUGAUAAUUUUUCAAAAAAAGAUAAAAUACUCGGGAAAGCAAAAUGUGUACUCUCUAUAUAUCGGAUUUAGCAAACAUUUUAGACAAGAUUUAGGUCAAACAUUGCAAAUAUAAAUCAUCAACAUGCAACUUUUAAAUUGUUGAGUUUGCAAAUGUGUAAAUUAUAUGAAUAGAUUUGUCUUGAAAAUACUUUCAUAAAAAUAUAUAUAUUUCAUUUUUUCUAAAUAUUUUUUUUUAUAAAAAUACGAGGUCAAAGUUGUGUUUUGGAGACCAUGUCGCUGUCCUCAACAACUUCUAAAUCCUAUAUAGAUGGAGUACUACUGUACAUGGCAUUGUUUAGUUCCAAGAUGAAAAGUUUUUGGAUGCCACAUCAAAUAUACCGGUACACAUUUGAAUUAUUAAACACAGACUAAUAAAAGAACAAAUUACAUAGCUCGUUUGGAAAUCGUGAGACGAAUUUAUUAAGACCAAUUAAUCCUUCAUUUAGUACUUGUGGGUUACUGUCGCAGUUAUGACUAAUCAUAUGGACUAAUUAGAAUUAAAAGAUUCGCCUUGUGAUUUAUAAUUAAACUGUGCAAUUAUUUUUUUAUCUAUAUUUGAUGUUCCUGCACGUGUUUAAAGAUUUUAAUGGGAUGAGUGAAAAAAUUUUGGACGGGGAAUUAAACGAGGCCUAGUUAUUUUUGGAACUAAACAUGGAUGCCAAAAGUUUUUGAAGUUUGACAUUGUAGCACUUUCGUUUAUAUUUGAUAAUUAUUUUCUAAUCAUAGACUAAUUAGGCUUAAAAAAUUUUGUCUAGUAAAUUAUAGUCAAAUUGUGAAAUUAGUUAUUUUUUAUCUAUAUUUAAUACUCUAUGCAUGCGUAUAAAGAUUUGAUGCGAUGAAAAAUUUUGUAAAUUUUUAGAAUUUUGGGUGCACUGAGAAUGAGGCCAUUCACUCCAGAUUGACCCGUGACCGCGACGUCCGUCUACCUACGAUGAACAGUUCUACAGAUGCCCUAGCAACCUCCCUGGCACGAGGCUACGACUGCGACGACAAAAAGGAGUGACGUGGUCGUGACAUAUGCUAAUAUCUAAUCAGGCCUUGUUUAGUUCUAAAAAAUUUACAAAACGGAUACUGUAACAUUUUUGUUUAUAUUUGAUAAAUAUUGUCUAAUUAUAAACUAACUACGCUUAAAAAAUUUGUCUUGUAAAUUACAGCUAAACUAUAUAAUUAUUUAUAUAUAUAUUUAAUACUUCAUGUAUGUACUGUAAAAUUCAAUAUGACGGAGAUCUGAAACUUUUUACAAUUUUUUUUAGAAUUAAACAAGGCCUCAAUGCAUUUUGUGUUGUAGUGUACUGUAAAAUUCAAUAUGACAGAGAUCUGAAAUUUUUUUAAAAUUUUUUUUGGAAUUAAACAAGGCCUCAAUGCAUUUUGUGUUGCAGUGGUAGGCUAUGGACCAUGCAUACGCAUGCAUGGACAGGUAGGUCAACACAGCGAUAUGGACCGUUCGUAAGCCCACUAAUGAAGCACUUCGUUGUAACUACAUCAUCGGGCUCUCGUCUCGUGUGAACCAAACAAAAAUUAUAUUUAAAGCUCUGCAUUGCUGCCUGAUGUGUUGGGUAACAAUAACAAUAACAAGCCGAGUCAGAGUCAGUUAUAAGCUGAACGAGAUAACGAAUUUUGAGUUUUUGGUCCAACUUUUGUUAAGUUGCACAACCAAUGCAAGGUGAUGGCCCACUGCUGAUGUACUGAGUUGAUACGCUGCCGGUUCCAAACCGGUCUGGGUGUAUAUAUAGGCCUUGUUUAGUUGUAAAAUAUUUUGCAAAAUGUGAAUAAUAUCAAUUUCGUUUGUAUUUGAUAAAUAUUAUCUAAUCAUGAACUAACUAGGCUCAAAAGAUUCGUUUCGUCAAUUCCGACCAAACUGUGUAAUUAGUUUUUAUUUUCGUCUAUAUUUAAUACUUCAUGCAUAUGUUUAAAGAUUCGAUGUGACGGGGAAUCUGAAAAAAUUAGCAAAAUUUUUUGGGAACUAAACAAGGCCAUAAUACUGGACGUAUAUGUCAGUGUGUUGCAUAGGUAAUAAAUAUAUUUUUGUUUUGACUACAUCAAUACAUGUUGUUUAGACUAAGUUAAAGUCUAUUUUAUGAUUUUUAUCACCAAAAUUAUGUAGACCAGGAGGAAUAUUAAAGAAAAAAUAUAAAUCAAUAUGACAAAUCUAAUGAUGUUAAGACCCAAACAACCAAUGCCCAAAGCCAUGCAUGUUCUGCCGUUAGUAAGGAGGCGAUGUGGCAGCUUCACGUGUCUCUGUGCUUCGUAGGGCGUAGCAGAGCUAGCAGUCCGUCGGAUCGAGAGGUCGUAGCUCAUACGUAGUACACUGCGCGGGGCUGAACGUACAUGUUGUUGUUUUGUUGCCCUUGGCCAAUGGUGCCGAAGCUAGCCCUACCUUGUCACGUACGUACGUGUUCUAGUAGAUCAUCUUUAAGCUAGUGACAAAGCUCACGUCGAAGGUCUCCGAGUUUAAUUGUUGUCUGUGUCGCGACGCAUACCGAUCGAGUCGAUGAUCACCGGCGUGUCUGCAUUAUCAUAUGGGCACCAGUGGUGUGGUGACGACCAAACCGCUAAGGAGGUGGUGGAUCGAGACGGCCACCACCAUCAACAAGGGACAGUAGUGCCAGUGCACUGGUUAUUGAUAUAAAGUAUGUUUAUUUUUUUUUUUACAUACAUGACAUAGUACUUGAUGUUUCUGUUUCGCAAAGUGGAUCCGGACUUUAUGGGAGCGUGUUGUUGUUCUUGUUGUUGUUGUUGUUGUGAGUUUUUGGCUCUAGCUAGCAAAUUUUUUCAUGUAAAGUAUUUUCCUUUUUUUUUAACGAACUAGAUCCGGACACUAGGAGAGGUUUUUUUCCGUGCAUGUUUGCACGUGGGCAUGCAGGAUUUAGUGUGGUAUGGAUAAAGAUUAGAAACAGUACAGUGGUUUUUGUUGUCGUAUAUGUUUAGAUUUCAGAAAUGUUUUUUUUUUUUUGCCGUGAGGUUUUUUUAAGUGGCAGUAGAUUCUUUGGAGUUUGGAUGCUGCUGCUGCUUCCAUGACACGAUUUUGUUAACCAAAAUGUCGUUCGAUUUUGUUAAGACUGGGCUCAGCGCAUGCGGCACCACCUUCAGGCCCACUCACGUCUACUCCGCCUGAACCGGCCCAUAAUCCCAGUUGCGAUGAAAUUCGCCCGGCCCGCUUCAAUUCACUAAUCUUCUCUUAGUGGUGACUGGUGAGAAUUAAUCCAAGGGCGUCAGAGUUGAAAAACGUACCAUCUUCUUGAGACAUAGACAUAUAUCUUUUUUCCCUAUAAUUUGCGUGAUCUAUGUAGGGCAUGCAGAUGAUAGUCUUGCGAGAUUACUUGCUUUAACAAUUUUAGUUUUUUUCCCUCCUGGGGGAAGUUGCUAAGCACAUAAAAUUUGUUAUUGUCUUCGCACAUUUAAUUAAAGGGCCAAAAGUCUUACAAGGCUCGAUUGUGUGCGUAGGGAUAUUUGAAUUCAACAUUAUAUAUGCUCCUGCAUUCUUCUCCCUGCAGGCUGCAGGUUCAGAUUUUGAAAGGGGGUACAUGUUUAUUUGUUGGGCACCUUCCUUCACUAGCUUUUUCCUUUGAUCCAGACAUGCGUGACUUCAAUUUCUUCAUAAAACAAAGUGUUCUCGUUCUGAAUUGUGGAUUUUUUCCUCUUUAACUGAAGUUGUUGAAAGCAUGCAGUUGCUGGGUGUUUGGUCCUACUACUGCUGCUGCUACCAGCUGCAGCAGUUGGUGGUAACACAGUUUAAAUGUUGCAAAAUUUGUAGGAAAAGCCAUAUUUAUAAUGAAAUUUUGCGCAUAAUACUCUGCUGUGAAAACCAGAUCAUGAAAAUGCAGUGGUACGCUUCUCCCAAUCGGCAUAUCAAUUCCAAUUUUGUUCCAGAAUUCGACAGCAAAGUAGCACUCGCUGAUGAUGUGUUCCGGAGAUUCAGGCUGAAGGCCGCAGAUUUCACAAUCCACAACAUGCUUUAUAAUUUGAACAGGUUGGAGCGACACUGAAUUCUCCUUUUGAGUGAGUAGCCAACGUGGUGGAGCUUUGCUCUUCCAAAUGCAGAAGGGUGAUAGGCUCUUGUCAGUGCAGUCGUCCAAGAGGGAACGAACGGCCUGAAGCUCUGACAUAAUAAUCUGCUGACGAAAGAGCUUUGUUUGUGGCAACAGCAUUUUUGGACAGUGUGCCAUCCCUGACAGUGCAGUGACUGAAUAGAAUGGGGAACGUUUCCGCCAGUGCGCCGUCACCGCACCAGACAUGACAUCCAACCAGAAGAGGGUGUUUCUGCCAUUCCCGAUUUGGACAGUGUGGUAAUGGCUUUGGUACAGCGGGAGUAUAAAGCGCAGAGUUUCCCAGUGCGCACCCUGGAGCUGGAGAUCACCUUGGUUGGAUUGGAGUGUUGCCAGACAAGCUCGUUGUCUCACCCACCACUGAGCCCAAGCAGAAGAAUCUCGCGCUGCUGGUCUGCAUCGGGGUCCUGACGUUCGUGUCGCUAGCCGCGCUCGUGGCGGCGGCGCGGAUGGUCCUGACGAACCGGAGGACGACCGCGGAGCCGGACGCUCAUGGAGUGCGCGGCGAGGUGAUGAGGCACCUGAAGCAAAUUUUGCUAGGCGGUGGUACAAUAAUUUAUUUAUUUUCAUAAUGUAGAUAUUAGUGUUAUUUAUGAAAUAGAAUAGUACUAAUAGCUAUUAUCGACAAUUAAUGAUACAUAAAUUCUACUAGUUCAAGGUCAAAUGUUUUGAUUGUUGUGAAAAACUUUAGACCGAAUGCAUGUCUAAAAUAUCAUAGCUCUCAAUUGGAAGGGGGUAGUAUCAUGCCAAACUGAGACUCUGGCGGUUUUGCACACAGAAAGAGCGGCAAGCAGCUAAGGCUCACGCGCGCGUCUUUGUGUUCCUCCUCCGUUCCUACGCGAAUUGGAUAGAGUUGAGGCUGGCCUGGCCAUGUCAAAAGCUAGCACAAGAAGUCGAUCGUCGACAGAAGAUGCAUGCUCCCCGGCCGCGGCCGGCCAUUAGCUCGAAACAAAAAGCCAGAAGGCAAUGCAAGCUGCGCUAGCUGCAUGCCUGGCCUUUUGUCUAUGGCGGCGCACGGCAUGAGGAAAGUGGGCGCACGAACAGAGACGCCAUGACCACGAUGAGACAAAUUUAAAGAGGAGGACGUGUACUAUUAAUUUCUUAGCUUGUCAUCCCAAAAUUAAACAACUAGUCGCUCAUUUUCUGCAUGCAUGCAUGGUCCGGCCGCGGCCCGCGCACAACGACCGGCUAUUUCCCUUCCCCAGCGAAGCGAUAGAUCGAGCACGGAUUGGAGUCCGGCCGGCACGGCAGCGCCCGCCCGCGCGGCGCGUGCGUGUCGUCCAACUGCACUGCAUGCAUGCCAGCCCGGCCGAACGCACGGACGAUAUCGAUCGAUGGCGCUUCGCAUCACGCACACGAAACCUUGCCGUGCGGGCUGCUGGCUCUAGGCUAGCUAGCUGCAUGCCCCUGCCCGGCCCUUUAAGUACCGGAGGACGGAGCUAGCAGCAUUGGGAUCGAUCGAGGAGCAAUAUCAGUACAACCUGCAGUGCAGGUGAUAAAAAGAUCGAUAAUGGCGUUGUUGCUGUCGUCGCUGGAGGCUUUGGGGCGGAGGAGGAACGUGGCCGGUCCGCUGCUGCUGCUCAACCUCGCCCUCUACGUCUCCAUGUUGGGGUUCGCGAGCUGGGCGCUCAACACCUUCGUCGACCACGACAUAGCCGGCGCCGACCACGAAAAGGAAUACUACCCACCUGCAGGUCCGUCGUACACGUCAACUCAAUGCGUGUAGUUUUUAUAUAUCUAUAUCUAUAUACAUACUCAACUCAAUGCGUGUAGACGACGCGUGCAUGUGCAUGGGCACGCCUGCAGGAGCGGCGCCGCGCAGCGCCGGCGACGAGGCGACGCUCCACUUCAUCCAGUUCGCGCUGCUGGCCGCCGUGCUAGGAACCGCAGCCAAGGCCGCGGCGGCGUUCCACGCGCGCGCGUCGUGGCGCCCGCAGGGCCUCGCGGCCGCCGCGGCCCUGGCCACCGUCGCGUGGGCGGCCACCGCGCUCGCGCUCGGUCUCGCGUGCAAGGAGAUGCGGGCCGCCGCGGCGGCGCGCGGGUGGCGGAUGCGCGCGCUCGAGGCGCUCACCGCGACGCUGGCCGUCACGCAGCUCGCGUACGUGCUCAUGCUGCACCGCGCCGCCGCCGACUCCGACUCCGACGUCGACGCCGACACCCACGCCUACGCUGCCGCUGGCGACGACCAGUGCGAGCCUGGCUGCUCCACCGCUACCGAGGGCGACGACGUCGACUGCCAGGACCAGGACGCGCAGCAGCAGCAACAUGGCCGCCACCACCACCACCACCACAGGCAGGGCGGCGGCGGGCCCUCGUGCAAUGUCAUGUGAACUAGCUUACCAUGCUUGGUGUUGUCACUCUCUUGUCUUGUCAUUUUCCGUGCUCGUGUUUCGUCGCGUGGAAAAUAAGCAAUUUAAAGCUCAGUUUCCUGUCUCAUAUAUGUUCCUUUCCUGUCUGUCAGUAUGUGUAUGUGUUCGUGCCUGUCAGCAUGUGUAUGUGUUUGUGCUGUGUAUUGUGAUGUCCAUUUGCUGCCACGCAUGUUCCCCUUGUGCAUGGCAGUUGAUGUCAAAUUAAUAAAAGGA